rnacentral:lncRNA from 1 species
ACAACAUGACUCUACAACUCAAGUAUUUAUUCAAUAGGCUCCGAGGAGCGAGAUAUUACAAACAUGGGUCUCAUGACCCAACAAUCAGAGCAUACAAGUCAAAGCACAUGCGGAAGCUUAAUAUGUCUGGGUACAGACAUCUAUAAUGAAAAAGGCUGAGAAGCCUGACUAUCUACCAGAUCCUGCCGAGGGCACAAGAUCGUAGCUGAGGUAACAAGCUAAACGUCGAAGUCCACGCGGAACUACUAGUGAGACUGAAGUCUCUCUGCAAAACAUAAAUUAAGCAACGUGAGUACAAAUGUACCCAGCAAGACUUACAUCAGAACUAUCUAUAAAUGCAUCAUUAUCAACAAGGGGAUGGUGGAGAUUGACUGCAGCAAGCCAGCUUUGACUCGGUGGCUAACCUGAACUACGACUGCAAGUAACUCUUUUGAGGUGGCGCACACGAGUCCACAUAUUCACCAUAUCAAUACACCACUAUGGAUCCGCUCCCGUCUCCCUACGAGAACGCCAUCCAUAGCACUCACGCUUAUCUUGCAUAUUUUAGAGUAUCCACUUUCACUUGUCUAUGAACUAUGCAAGGGGUCCAAGUUUCCAUAUCCAAGGAAUCCGGCUAUUCGAAUAGAUAAUGAUAACCCUGCAGGGGUGUACUUCUUCACACACGCUUUCGCCACUUAUCGCCCUGUACACGUCAUGUACCUCGGCAACCUUCAAGCGGAAGCCGGGCGACGGAGUCGGCCACGACCUGACUAACCGAACAAGUCUCUAGUCCAGGUUUAUCGCCUAUUCGGGUUCCAUCCGCAAGGAGAUCCGGCCGGGGUGUCGCUCACAGCCCCAAAUGAUGUGUGCAGGGUUCCCAAGCCCACCUCGACGGGUGGAUGUACGCUUGGUACACCGUGCCACUGUGCCUAGUCUGUCCCAAGCCCACCUGUACCGGGUGCCACUUGGUAGACUACUAACACUACCUACAAACACCAGAAACUAGUUGCAACUCCUGGACAGAGAUCAUGUUGAUUAAUAAGCCGAGAGAGUCAAUUAAGGAUCCCAAUGUGUGGUAGUAGCUGUUCAUGGAUCACAGGCACAGAACUCAGUUCCUGAGGACGGCUGCAAUGAGACAACCCACCAUGUACUCCUACAUGGCCUCUCACCGCUACCUUUACCAAGUCGUGUUCACACACUUAGCUCACACACAGUAGGACAUGUUCACACGCCUCUGAUUCAUCCCCGAUGAAUCAGACCUGACUCAACUCUAAGCAGUAGCAGGCAUGACAAACAAGCAUGAAUGAGUAGGCACAAUAGGGCUCAAACAACUCCUACUCAUGCUAGUGGGUUUCAUCUAUUUACUGUGGAAUGACAGGUCAUGCAAAGGAUAAAGGGGUUCAGCUACCGCAGCAAGUAACAAAUAUGUCGUUGUUGUCCUAAUGCAGUAAAAGAGAGCAGGAGCGAGAGAGUGGGAUUUUAUCGGAAUGAACAAGGGGGUUUUGCUUGCCUGGCACUUCUGAAGAUAGCAUUGAGUCUUCAUCAGUGUCAACGAUCACAUCGCCGUUACACGUCUAUCGAGAGGGGACAAUUACCGGCAAACAAGGAAAAACACAAUCAAUGCAAUGCGACAAUAUGAUGCAUGCUAUGACAUGGCAAUAUGAAUGUGUUUUGGGCUAAUGCACUUAGCUAUGAUUUAAAUGAAGUUGGUUUGAAUACAUGAUUCAAAUUCCAACUCCAUAUAUGAUUAUUUAAAUGCCCUUUAAUAUGAUUUGUGCUAAACAGCAUCUAUAAGUUGUUCUAACAUGCAUGAAACCAGUACAGAUGGAUAGAUUGGAUUUUUCUGAUAAUUUUUCAUAUAUAAAUUAUUUCAUUUGGAGUUACGGUUGAAUUUCUAUGAAUUUUAGAAGUUUAUACAAUUUUCUGGAAUUUAUAAAUCAUUUCCUAAUUUAUUUUAAUUCCAGAAAGGAAUUAUUGCGUCAGCAUGACGUUGGCAUGACGUCAGCAGGUCAACAGAGGCUGGCUAGGGUCAAACCUGACGUGUGGGGUCCACACGUCAGUGACACGGGUUAAACAGGGGGGUUUAGUUUAGUUUAAUUAAAGAUUAGGGGCACUAGGGCCCACAUGUCAGUGUCAGGGGGUUAGAUUAGGUGGUGAUUAGCUUAAGCUAAUCACCUGAUGGCGGGGUCCACCUGUCAUGGACCCAGGGGAGGUCAAACCCCGGGUCAGUAGGGUCAAUCCCGCCAGCGUCUCGACACCGGCGAGGCCCGGGAUGGUGGCGGCCAUCGGAAACACGCUACAGGGCACGGGCGAGGCCGUGCUUGGGCUCGUUGGAGAGCCCUUGCUCCCGCGCGUCGAACGGUGGUGGCGGCCGUGCCUGUGGUGGCCGGUACCGACGACGGCGAGCUCGUGAGCGGCGGCCGGAGUUCGGGUGCGGUCGGGUUCGGCGCAGCUGCUCGCAAGCGAGGGAGCUGAGGCGCUGGAGGGGCUCUACGGGUCGCGGCAAGCACAACGGGUGCACGCCCGUGACCAAAUGGUCACCGGGGCUUCGCCGGUGAUGAGCCCGUGUGGCGGAGCGUCUCGGCUCCGGUAGAGGGGCGGCUAGACCUCGAAAUCGGACAUGGGGUUAGGGGGAAAUGAAGCAGGGGCUCACGGGGAUCAUGCAGGGAGGGUCAGCGAGCUCGGGGAAGCACAAACGGCGGCGAAUCGACGGCGACCAUCGACGGCGGUCGAGGACGAAGACGAUGGCGUGGAGGCGAUGCAGAGCUUCCCGAGGGGCUUGGCUUGGUGGGGAGGAAGAGGGGGUCGAGGCGGAGCUCCUGAGCUCAGCGGAGGGGCGAGGGGUGGCCGGUGGCUAUGGAUGCGACGGCGGCGCCCUCCGGUGGCUCUCGGUGGUGCUCCAAAUCGAGGGAGGGAGAGAGCUAGAGCGAGCAGGGAGGAAGGAUAGCGGUCGAGGACGACUCCGUGGCGUUGCUAGAGGGCUCGGGGAGGAAGCAGGAGGUGGCCAGGGGAAGCAGGAGGUGGAGCCUGCGUGCGCGGCGCCUUCUCACGGCGACAGCAGCAGCUUUGGGGCGAGGGGAGGAAGACAACAGAGAGGAGGAGGUGGGCUGGGCCGCUGGAGGAGCUGGGCCACGUAAGUCCUUCUGCUCUUUUUUAAAUUUUCUGUUCUGUUUUAUUUUUAUUUAAUCUUUUGCCACUGUUGUGAAUUUAAAAUAAUUCAAACAAUGCCAAAAACUCCUCUGAAUAUUUUUAUUUGGCUAGAUGGACUUUUCCAAAAGCUCAUAAAAUAUUUCAGGGGUAUUUGAAAUUAUAUUCUAAUUAUAUGAAUAUAAUUCAAAUUCAAAUAGCUAAUGAUUUAAAUUCAAAGUCCCAAAAAUAAAUCCUUUUAAAAUGUUCAUUAUUUUUGGUUUGGAUCAAAACCCUUGCCAAAAAUAUUAAACAUCUAAGAAGAGCAUUUUGGAACAAUGAAUGAGAUUUUAGGGUUUUUGCCCUUCUUUUAUUUAGGGUUUUGAGGCUUCCAAUUUCCCUCAGUUCAAGUUUCAGAAUUUAAACAUGAUGCACAGAUGGAAGCAAGCAUAGGUCAGGCCAGAACUAGGGAUGUGACAACUCACCCCCACUAAACAAGAAUCUCGACCCGAGAUUCAAGUGUAGGGUAAGACGAUGGGGAACGCAAACUAGCACAAUCUUCACGAUCCAGGUUGCACUUCAUAGGAACGUUGAUUCGAUCACCAUCAUUGUCUUGAUGUCUUGCUCUGAGAACUCUAGCUAAUCAUGACAAGAAGAGGAAAGGAAAACUCUAGAAGGAUCGAUCUUCUCGAAGGUCGAACAACUCACGGAAUGAGACAUAGAACCAUCUCUCGGGUUGAGACACGAGAUACACAUCAAGAGGGGUGGAAAGAAACGGAUGACGAAGGUUCACUAGGUAGACAACAAUUCCACACCUAAGAGGUGGUGACGGUUGUCAAAUAGCGAGGAGUUGAGUUGCCAUGAUACCAUAACGAUGCACCUUAGGGAAGGUGACUCGUAGAAAUAUCCCCUUAAGUGGCAAAAGGAUUACCUUUGAUUCAAGGAUCAUUGAAACUCUUUAUACCAGCUUAAGGCAAAUCAUAAUCGAUCAUUUAGAGGGGUUCGGUAGAAUGGCAUACUCGAACUUGGAUGAUGUGGAUUACCUUGUUGAAGACAACGCAAUGGAUGAUUUUUGCUUAUCACCGGAAAUGGAUGAGACCCAUGGUAGAAUGGCACAUUGGCGGUGCAAGCUGGGAACAAAAUGCAAAUACUGGGAAUGAUUCUGGUAACUGGGGAAGAACCCAACAAUAGAGAGUGAAGUCACUGUUUGAAAAGGUCAUAGCAUUGCCGAGGAAACUGAGAGGAAUCCCAGUUAGUGCUGAUGAUAACACGUAGCGCUUGUGCGUGCUCUCAAGAACUUGAGCAUUUCCAUAAUCAUCAUGAUUUUACCAAUAUCCGUGUCAAGGAUCCUGGCAACACAACUUGCUACCACGAUGAAUGAUGAUGGAUGAUGCAGAUGCAAAGGAAGAUAACACCUUCUCAGAUUUCACCUUAGCAAGGCCAAGGAAGUAAAAUCUGGAUGAUCGACCGAGAGACAUUUAGCACUCCGCUUCUAAUGUUCUCCUUGAUGUGCUAGCGUAUCCCAUUCAUUGAAAUGGUUUGGUAUCUAGAACAUCAAGUAAAGGUCGGGCUUCAGGAACACAAAAAAUCCAUAGGGGCAACUAGGAAGUAAAUCCUACGAAAUCCCUAUGGGGAGGUGGCCAACUUCCUCAAUCAAGAUAUUAUAAUAACAGGUCUUCCGGCUGGGUGUGUUGGCCACGACAUCCACCGUACCGGUUAUCGAGGGACCAAUAUUAUAGUUCUUGGGAAAAGUUCCAACCAUCAUAUCUGCCUGAGAUUCAGAUCUGGUUGGUGUUAGGAUAUUCCAGACUCAUCGAGUCUAGGAAGAAAAAGAAAGUUUGCAACACAAUUCGACGAGAUGACGUUGCGAGAUUCUCAGGAAAUGAACUACGAUAGCAAGCUCCAAAACAUGAGCUGGUUCUGCUACAAACAUGUGAACACGUUGUCCCAGACAAGCAUGCCCACAUGGUAGUCUUACAAUAAAACACUACCGAGUUCUGGUUGGGAACCAUCAGCGAGGAUAUCAAAGUCCUUGUGCACUUAUCGAUGAACUUCUUAUCCUUGAGCAAACCAAUCAGUGGCUUGGUGUGCUAGGGAAUACAUAUGGAAUGAAGAUGAUCAGUCUAUCAGGCCAUAGAAUACUCUGCACGUGCAUGACUGACUUGGGAUGAUUCCAGAGGAAGCAACAUUGACUUUCUCGAAUCCACGGCGGCAACUUGCAUCAAACGCACAUGAGCUGGAGGAAGUCACUUCUUACAUCCGAACAUAUGCUUCAUGCACGGGACAUGAAGAUAAUGCUUAUCAAAGUUUCCAACACUAGCUGGAUGUUCAACACGAAUAAUGGAUGAGACAAAAUGCUGCUGAUGGGCUCAACAACAAGUUAUCGGGAUUUCCAUGGAGAUGGAAUUCCAUAACUAUGUGAACAAGGUGAUAGUAUUGGUCAGACCCAAAAUAUAUAAUGGUGUAUGCUCGUGGAAAAUCCACGAGUAAGACAACAUUACGAACAUUGUUGGUUCUGAUUUGAUUUGAGAAUAGCCCACACUCAAAUCAAAGUUUUGGCAAGACAAUAGCUCCAAUAACUGAUCACAGGGACCAAUCGCUGAAGAUAACAUCUUUCUUCAACUCACACAAACACAAGAUAUCCCUUUUGGAAAAUGAGCUAAGUCAGGCAAGCUUUUAUCUUCCAACUCUCCAAGUUGUUGUUUAGCUUAUCCAACUAGCUCAGGGUAUCCAACACGAGUUCUUGGAGAAAAGGUGGUUUACAGGAAUAAACCAACUGGAUCACGAGCUCAACAUAACAGUCAGGUGACAACCUGGUGAUACUUUCGAGAAGAUAUUCGGAAAAUCACGAACCGCCGGUAUGUUACUAAGCUCGAGAACAAUCUUGCUUUUCAGGGCAAGAUGAUAUGUUCAAAUGAGCGAGGACUUGACAAAAUCCUAACUCAUCAAUCAAAGAGUGCACCAGGGAAUAAGGACUAGGUAGCACAAUCUAUCUUAGAAUGGUGACUCAAAAACCAACACGCUAAGAAUGAAAUUAUUGUCCCUUUAACUACCCAGCAACACGGUUGCUAGGAGUAUUGACUUCACACAUCAUAGUUCACUUGUCGGCAUUCCAGUUGCGACAACACGAAACCGAGGAAUGAAUAAUGAUGGCGAGAGUAUCACUAAAUCAAGAAUUCAUAGGAUGGUGUGCCAUUCCCAUGAUAAUCUUAAUAUAAAGAUGGUAACACUCCAGGGUGGAACAGAACAAAAACUGGAUUAGUAUUUGAUCUGCGGAGUACAACUGCUUUGACCCAAUCCUGAAUAUGGAUGAGGUACUGGAGUUUGUUUCUCCUAGUCAUCCUGAAUGGAAUGGCUUGAUGGACCACAAGAAUAAUAGGCAUCGAUGACGAAUGCACGCAUACUCUUGACUAUCAGUUGAUAGACAAAGGUCAAAAAACAACUAAAGAGGGACAACUCAAAAGAACAUAUGAUUUUCUGAGUUGUGAAUGCAUAGAUUAGCAUGUCGAACGAGUUCAACAUAUUCCUUCCGGACAAUCCAUGCGGAAAGGUAGAACUGGCAGAGUCACAAUUAUGAAUGGAGAACCCAUCGAGAGCACUCCUGUUGUGAUCUUUUGAUCCAACAAACUUUUGCCGUAAGUGGUUCAUGGUAUUAGGAAGAAGGAUAUACCAUGGACCUCGAGAACUACUGCAAAGGUUACUAAUAACCUAAGGGAGCUAGCAAUUACUAUCAACAUGAAGUAAGUAGGGUGAAUCUCGGGUUCAAAACCCAAGGAGUAGAAUACCUACUACUAAGUGGCAUCACGGGAUGCUUUCGGGGAUAAAGCCAGAGUCAUCACACUGGGACACAAAUCAUAGCUAGAUUACUAGAUGAUCCCCUAAGACACCUAGGGUCAUAAUAAUAUCUCCAACAUAAGUGUCAAGGCAAUAGAAUACCUCAACUCAACAAUUAGUGUGAUUGAGCUGGCAUAAAGGAACAUCGAAACCAGAGGGAAAGGAUUUUGCAAAUGCAUCAGAUUAUUUAGAAACCUGGGAUGACUCAGACAGCAUAACGGCUAUAAAUGCUCAAAAGAUUUGAGACAUGCUACAAAAAUGGUGGCAUAGCCACUCAGAAGCACAAUAUCAAGGUUUCGAGAUCAACAGUUAACAUACAGAGGUAGUAGAAGCUGAACUGAGGCUUAAGUCCAACAAUUCUAUAAGUUUGCGGACUAGUAACACGUGAUCCUGAUAGAAAGAAGAGAUAGCCUAGCUCUUAAUCCCCGUAGGAAAGAUAAGAUGACUCAGAUCAGAAGGGCAUAAGGUAAAGGAGUAAAAAGAGCCUUACGUUCCAUCCCACAAUCAAUUCCCUUAUAUAACUAAAGCAUUUCUAGACUCAACUUCGACCAGUUUGGCUUGGUAAUCCUACAGGUAGUCAAGCUCUGAUACCAACGCUGUCAGGACCCCGAUCCUAAGUCACACUAAUCUAGCAUGUAACACAUCAUAUCACUUUGCGGCCUCACGCACGGUAUUCCCACGGGUGCCAACUUACCUGGCCCGGGACUGUUUGCGCCUUUUGGCUCACGUAUAUGAUAGUGUCGCUAGCAUCCAUAUGACAAAGAACCCGGGCUGACAUGGCUAGUCGUGAACCCAAAGUGGCACUAACUUACAGGGACAGGCAUCCAUGACCCAGCAUCGAACGUGUCGGUCAUCCGCGAGUGAAUCCAGGCUGUAGCACUAGGCUAGCAGGACUCCGGUGAACCGGGCUGUAGCGGGCUAACAGGACUCCGGUAUUCAUCGCGUGACAUUUCCCCGAAGGGACAGACACAGGAACGAAGAAGGACACAUGCCGGCCAGCCUAAGUGUUCCGGAGCAGUAGCAAGCUACCAUGGCUCGGUGGAAACACUAGGAGACAUUUCCCGGUAAGAGAGGCUACUAAGGAUAAACAACUAGAUAGUCAGAUCCCACACAUACCAAGCAUUUCAAUAACAUACACACAAUAUGCUCGAUAUGUGUAAAUACAACAUGGCAUCACAACAUGACUCUACAACUCAAGUAUUUAUUCAAUAGGCUCCGAGGAGCGAGAUACUACAAACAUGGGUCUCAUGACCCAACAAUCAGAGCAUACAAGUCAAAGCACAUGCGGAAGCUUAAUAUGUCUGGGUACAUACAUCUAUAAUGAAAAAGGCUGAGAAGCCUGACUAUCUACCAGAUCCUGCCGAGGGCACAAGAUCGUAGCUGAGGUAACAAGCUAAACGUCGAAGUCCACGCGGAACUACUAGUGAGACUGAAGUCUCUCUGCAAAACAUAAAUUAAGCAACGUGAGUACAAAUGUACCCAGCAAGACUUACAUCAGAACUAUCUACAAAUGCAUCAUUAUCAACAAGGGGAUGGUGGAGUUUGACUGCAGCAAGCCAGCUUUGACUCGGUGGCUAACCUGAACUACGACUGCAAGUAACUCUUUUGAGGUGGCGCACACGAGUCCACAUAUUCACCAUAUCAAUACACCACUAUGGAUCCGCUCCCGUCUCCCUACGAGAACGCCAUCCAUAGCACUCACGCUUAUCUUGCGUAUUUUAGAGUAUCCACUUUCACUUGUCUAUGAACUAUGCAAGGGGUCCAAGUUUCCAUAUCCGAGGAAUCCGGCUAUUCGAAUAGAUAAUGAUAACCCUGCAGGGGUGUACUUCUUCACACACGCUUUCGCCACUUAUCGCCCUGUACACGUCAUGUACCUCGGCAACCUUCAAGCGGAAGCCGGGCGACGGAGUCGGCCACGACCUGACUAACCGAACAAGUCUCUAGUCCAGGUUUAUCGCCUAUUCGGGUUCCAUCCGCAAGGAGAUCCGGCCGGGGUGUCGCUCACAGCCCCAAACGAUGUGUGCAGGGUUCCCAAGCCCACCUCGACGGGUGGAUGUACGCUUGGUACACCGUGCCACUGUGCCUAGUCUGUCCCAAGCCCACCUGUACCGGGUGCCACUUGGUAGACUACUAACACUACCUACAAACACCAGAAACUAGUUGCAACUCCUGGACAGAGAUCAUGUUGAUUAAUAAGCCGAGAGAGUCAAUUAAGGAUCCCAAUGUGUGGUAGUAGCUGUUCAUGGAUCACAGGCACAGAACUCAGUUCCUGAGGACGGCUGCAAUGAGACAACCCACCAUGUACUCCUACAUGGCCUCUCACCGCUACCUUUACCAAAUCGUGUUCACACACUUAGCUCACACACAGUAGGACAUGUUCACACGCCUCUGAUUCAUCCCCGAUGAAUCAGACCUGACUCAACUCUAAGCAGUAGCAGGCAUGACAAACAAGCAUGAAUGAGUAGGCACAACAGGGCUCAAACAACUCCUACUCAUGCUAGUGGGUUUCAUCUAUUUACUGUGGAAUGACAGGUCAUGCAAAGGAUAAAGGGGUUCAGCUACCGCAGCAAGUAACAAAUAUGUCGUUGUUGUCCUAAUGCAGUAAAAGAGAGCAGGAGCGAGAGAGUGGGAUUUUAUCGGAAUGAACAAGGGGGUUUUGCUUGCCUGGCACUUCUGAAGAUAGCAUUGAGUCUUCAUCAGUGUCAACGAUCACAUCGCCGUUACACGUCUAUCGAGAGGGGACAAUUACCGGCAAACAAGGAAAAACACAAUCAAUGCAAUGCGACAAUAUGAUGCAUGCUAUGACAUGGCAAUAUGAAUGUGUUUUGGGCUAAUGCACUUAGCUAUGAUUUAAAUGAAGUUGGUUUGAAUACAUGAUUCAAAUUCCAACUCCAUAUAUGAUUAUUUAAAUGCCCUUUAAUAUGAUUUGUGCUAAACAGCAUCUAUAAGUUGUUCUAACAUGCAUGAAACCAGUACAGAUGGAUAGAUUGGAUUUUUCUGAUAAUUUUUCAUAUAUAAAUUAUUUCAUUUGGAGUUACGGUUGAAUUUCUAUGAACUUUAGAAGUUUAUACAAUUUUCUGGAAUUUAUAAAUCAUUUCCUAAUUUAUUUUAAUUCCAGAAAGGAAUUAUUGCGUCAGCAUGACGUUGGCAUGACGUCAGCAGGUCAACAGGGGCUGGCUAGGGUCAAACCUGACGUGUGGGGUCCACACGUCAGUGACACGGGUUAAACAGGGGGGUUUAGUUUAGUUUAAUUAAAGAUUAGGGGCACUAGGGCCCACAUGUCAGUGUCAGGGGGUUAGAUUAGGUGGUGAUUAGCUUAAGCUAAUCACCUGAUGGCGGGGUCCACCUGUCAUGGACCCAGGGGAGGUCAAACCCCGGGUCAGUAGGGUCAAUCCCGCCAGCGUCUCGACGCCGGCGAGGCCCGGGACGGUGGCGGCCGUCGGAAACACGCUACAGGGCACGGGCGAGGCCGUGCUUGGGCUCGUUGGAGAGCCCUUGCUCCCGCGCGUCGAACGGUGGUGGUGGCCGUGCCUGUGGUGGCCGGUACCGACGACGGCGAGCUCGUGAGCGGCGGCCGGAGUUCGGGUGCGGUCGGGUUCGGCGCAGCUGCUCGCAAGCGAGGGAGCUGAGGCGCUGGAGGGGCUCUACGGGUCGCGGCGAGCACAACGGGUGCACGCCCGUGACCAAAUGGUCACCGGGGCUUCGCCGGCGAUGAGCCCGUGCGGCGGAGCGUCUCGGCUCCGGUAGAGGGGCGGCUAGACCUCGAAAUCGGACAUGGGGUUAGGGGGAAAUGAAGCAGGGGCUCACGGGGAUCAUGCAGGGAGGGUCAGCGAGCUCGGGGAAGCACAAACGACGGCGAAUCGACGGCGACCAUCGACGGCGGUCGAGGACGAAGACGAUUGCGUGGAGGCGAUGCAGAGCUUCCCGAGGGGCUUGGCUUGGUGGGGAGGAAGAGGGGGUCGAGGCGGAGCUCCUGAGCUCAGCGGAGGGGCGAGGGGUGGCCGGUGGCUAUGGAUGCGACGGCGGCGCCCUCCGGUGGCUCUCGGUGGUGCUCCAAAUCGAGGGAGGGAGAGAGCUAGAGCGAGCAGGGAGGAAGGAUAGCGGUCGAGGACGACUCCGUGGCGUUGCUAGAGGGCUCGGGGAGGAAGCAGGAGGUGGCCAGGGGAAGCAGGAGGUGGAGCCUGCGUGCGCGGCGCCUUCUCACGGCGACAGCAGCAGCUUUGGGGCGAGGGGAGGAAGACAACAGAGAGGAGGAGGUGGGCUGGGCCGCUGGAGGAGCUGGGCCACGUAAGUCCUUCUGCUCUUUUUUAAAUUUUCUGUUCUGUUUUAUUUUUAUUUAAUCUUUUGCCACUGUUGUGAAUUUAAAAUAAUUCAAACAAUGCCAAAAACUCCUCUGAAUAUUUUUAUUUGGCUAGAUGGACUUUUCCAAAAGCUCAUAAAAUAUUUCAGGGGUAUUUGAAAUUAUAUUCUAAUUAUAUGAAUAUAAUUCAAAUUCAAAUAGCUAAUGAUUUAAAUUCAAAGUCCCAAAAAUAAAUCCUUUUAAAAUGUUCAUUAUUUUUGGUUUGGAUCAAAACCCUUGCCAAAAAUAUUAAACAUCUAAGAAGAGCAUUUUGGAACAAUGAAUGAGAUUUUAGGGUUUUUGCCCUUCUUUUAUUUAGGGUUUUGAGGCUUCCAAUUUCCCUCAGUUCAAGUUUCAGAAUUUAAACAUGAUGCACAGAUGGAAGCAAGCAUAGGUCAGGCCAGAACUAGGGAUGUGACACAUCCAGUUUAUAUAGACACCGGAGAGGGCUAGGUUUACAUAGAGUCGGUUACAAUGGUAGGAGAUCUACAUAUCCGUAUCGCCAAGCUUGCCUUCCAGGCCAAGGAAAGUCCCAUCCGGACACGGGACGAAGUCUUCAAUCUUGUAUCUUCAUAGUGUUGGAGUCCGGUCGAUGAUGAUAGUCCGGCCGAUGAUAGUUCGGCUGAUGAUGGUAGUCCGGCUAUCCGAACACCCCCUAAUCCAGGACUCCCUCAGUAGCCCCUGAACCAGGCUUCAAUGACGAUAAGUCCGGCGCGUAUAUUGCUUGGCAUUGCAAGGCGGGUUCCUCCUCCGAAUAAUAGAAGAUUGUGAACACCAGGAUAGUGCUCGGCUCUGCAAAAUAAAUUCCACAUUCCACCAUAGAGAGAAUAAUAUAUACACAAGUUCAAUCUGCUGACGUUUUUUGCGGCAUGACGUCACGCCACUACCAAGCCAUUACUUGAAUCGUUUUUUACUCUACCACCUCAGCGCAUUUAGCGAAGCGGUUUCCUUGGCACGUCUUGUCGAAGCAGAGAUCGUGUUCCCCCUUAAUCCAGGAUUCUCAUUAAUACGUACGUGGGUAACCCAACCGCGCCAUUGAUGGUGACGCUUGGGGGAUAAGCGAGUUUUACCAGGCCGGUGGGGGACGCGUAGACUUCGCCCGCCCAUAUAAGGGAUAAGGAUUCACCUUUUCACCUACGCCUUCUUCCUCCUUUGCUUAUCCAUCUCCGCGCACUCGAGCUCCAGCGCCCAAGCCCGCACAUCUCGUCUCAACCUUCCCCAGUUAUGUUCGGAGCGGGAGGCAAGUGGAUGACCUCCUCCGUUUCGGAGGGGCACAUCGAAAGACUGCGCAGCGCCGGCUACCUGUCCGGCGACAUCGCGCACCGGCUGCCCGAUGAGGGGCAGCUCAUCCCCACCCCCAGGCCCCAUGAGAGGGUCGUUUUUCUUCCCCACUUCCUCCACGGACUGGGUUUUCCACUUCACCCCUUUGUCCGGGGGCUCAUGUUCUACUACGGCCUGGAUUUCCAUGAUCUGGCGCCGAACUUCAUCCUCAACAUCUCGGAUUUUAUCGUCGUGUGCGAGGCCUUCCUCUACAUCCAGCCCCACUUCGGCUUGUGGCUCAAGACCUUCAAUGUCAAGCCGAAGGUAGUGAAGGGCACUCAAGCGGAGUGCGGAGGCGCCAUGUUGGGCAAGAUGCCCAACGUCCUUUGGUUCGAAGGGGCCUUCGUGGAAUCCGUCAAGGGGUGGCAAUCGGGGUGGUUCUAUAUCACCGAGCCGCGCGACCCUAAGUGGGCGGCGGCCCCGAGUUUAGAUCUGGUAUCCCCAUGCAGCUCACCUCCUGGAAAGAGAAGGGCUUGCUGUGGGGUAGUUCGGAGGAGCUGACGGGACUCCAAGCCUGUAUCCAGAAGCUGGUGAAGAAGCUCAGGCUGGUUAACGUGGUCCAAGUCAUGCUCGUCCGCCGGAUUCUCCCAUGCCAAGAGCGGGCAUUCAAUCUGUGGGAGUUCAAUCCGGAACAGCUCCAGGCGCUGAGCGGGCUCUUCGACACGACAUACGAAGGUGCCUGGAGGGUGCUGUUUAAGGGCGCCGAAGCCCCCGCAUCCGCGACCGAAGAUCACGGAUUUCGCUCGCAGCGCCAAGCCGACGAGGUAAGUGAUUCUACCCCUUUACGGGACACUUGCUUUUCAUAGUUUGACUCUAUGCGGGUUUUAAUUUCCCCUUUUCCUUUGAUAGGACUGGAUGAGGAAGGCGGAGCAGAUUAUCUGCCCGACUCCUAUGCCAGAAAACCCAGUAGACGCCCCUCUAGCGAGGUUGCUGGUUCCGGCACCGCACGUGGUGCCGGAGAAAAAGGCCAAGAAGGAGGCCAUGGGUGCUCGAAAGAGUUCCUGUUUUCAGGUGUCCAACGACUCCGGGGCGGACUCCUCCCCUGAAAACGAGGAGGAGAAAGAGGACUCUCUCCCAAAGGAGGGAGAGAGGAAGAGGAAGGAUUCCCCAACAGGGGAGGCCGAAGGGUCCAAGAGGGGAAGGACUAUUCCCCCGGACAGCUCCGCCAACAUCAACGUUGGCGAGGAAGAAUGGCCUUCAAGGGCCAGGCCUCCGGCGAGAUCGUAAGUAUCUGGAUUCCUGAAUGAUUUAUAAUUUCUUUUUCUGCAUCACAUAGUGUCAUUCUGAUGCCGCAUGCUGCCUGUAGUCCGGCCAAUGAUGAUCUCCCCGCUUCAUCGAGCGGGUCGUUGGCUCCGUCGGAUGUAGACUCCAUCCCGACAGCCUCCACCCCUCGCGACACCGAGUACGCCGAGGUGGGAUCCCAAGAAGGGACCCAUCAGGGGGAGGCGCAACAAGGCGUCCUCCCGGACUUUGUGCCGGACUCCAUAUCAGAACCCGUAGUGGUUCCGGAGUCCGGCCAGCGGCCCCUUCGAACGAAGGGCAAGACCGUGACGCCGGCGGCUUCUGUCCAACCGGAGGCGCCGGACAAUUUGUUGGAGGCACUCCAGAGCGCUUCCAUCGAGGAAGAACACCGCACUAUUAUGAGUGCGGUGGUUCAAAAGGUACAGCUUGCCAAGAGCGGGCUGACCGAAGCCUGCAAUAGCCUUCUAUCAGGCUUUGAGGUAAGAAGUUUAAAAAUAUGCAAUGUAAUACCGCAUAGACAGUAGCCCCUGAUGCUCGGUUCGGUGUUCGGAAAGAAAAGCCGGACUGAGGAUCUGAAAAAAAAAGAUAUACGCAGGGUUGCUAAAAAAUUAUGUCAAUAUGGGUUGUAGGUUGCGCUGCUGACCUCUGCUGCACUGACUGCGGAGGUUGGUGCUUUGAAGCAGGAGCUCGAGCGGUCCGAGCAAGAGCUCGGCCGCGCCAAGGAGUAGCUCCAGGACAAAGAAGGUGAGUAACACCGCUUUGAACUUGUACCUUACAGAAAAGGAUUUAGGUUGCAACAAAAAAUAACAAGGAUAACAUGGGUACUGCAGGGGCCACGAACGAGGUGGCGACCCUGAAGGAGGCCGUGUCUGCGGCCGAACGCAAUGCGGCCACGGAACGGGCAGAGCGAGAAAAGUAGGAGGCGCGAGUGGCGGUGGUUCAGCAAGAGCUCCAGGCUCUCAUGGAAAAGCAUGAGAGUUUGGAGCGUGACUUAAAGACUCGAGAGUCCGAGCUUGCCUCGGCUCUCGAAAGUGCCAAGACUGCCAAGGCCGAUGCCCAUAAGUCCCUUCAGGAGAUUGAGUUGGUGAGGAAGAUAGCGGCGGGUAAGGCAUUUUUCAUGCAAAGCAAGCAUGUGAAUGUAAAUUACGUGUUACUUACCCGAAUUCGGAGCUCUCCAGGGGCAUUUGCAGAUCUGCCUCGCAGCGUGUCUGAUGCUGCCGCAUUCUACCGAGCCGAGGAGGGGAGCUCAAUGGAGAAGGUCUUCUGGUCUCAGUAUGCUGAGGCCGGCCAUCCGGUGCCCCCUAGCGACCAGCUGAAGCAGCUAGUCGAGCUCCACAAGGUGGCCGAGCAGGCCAUGAAGGGCCUCAUAGUCCGGCUGUGGCCUGGAGAGGCCAUGCCUGGGAGCUACGUCGGUCUUGUGCGAUGGUUGGUGGAUGCGUGCCCCUGGGUGGAGGUUAUCAAGCGCUCCGCCUGUGUUGAAGGUGCUCGUCGGGCCCUUGCCUGCGCAAAGGUGCAUUGGGGCAAGCUGGAUGCGGAGAAGCUAAUCACUGACGCGCAACCAGCGGGCAAGGAAUAUCGUACGCCCUAAAUGUACCAUAAGACUGUCCUGAAGGGUGCCCGCAAGAUUGCGGAUGAGUGCCCCAGGGAUGUAAUUAUUGAGUAAAUUCGCAAUGUGUUAUCCUGUACGCUGAAAACUUUGUUCAUAUGCGCUAAGCAACGCUUGUUAAUUUAAAAUAUUACCUUCUGUGCGGCCGUUUAUGAAAUCUGAGAGAUGGCAAGUCGUCGGCUUCAGCCCCCAUGCCACGAGUGCUGGGGUGUUCGGGAUAAACUUGAGCACUCUUGUUCCCAUUUUUGGGUCCAUCUAGGGAGGCCCUCAACACAAUGAACAAGGCAACUGGACUUAUAGUGCUUGAACACUCUCACUUAGCCAUAGAAUUCUAUAAUUUUAAAUUUCGGCGAAGCCCCUAGUAUUCGGAAGACCGAAUUAGGGGCGCUAUCUACGCCUUCGUCGGACAUUAUCCGGAACUUCGCUCGAAGCGGCGUAUGUCUUUAAGGACCCGAAAGGACCUCUCGAACAGCGACCAGUCUCUCGCCUUAUCAUGACAGUCAGUUUUAGCUUUCUCCACUGAGGCGUUAACCCGGCUCAACCGGGGCGCAAGCGCAGUGGUUCUCCCAGUGCUACCUUAGCCGAUAGAACGGAACGUAAGGUUCCAAACAUGGGAGCCGGGCAAACCCAACUAUUGACCCAAGACAUGAUUCGGAGCCGAUUCAUAUAAUGCUAUAAGUUCGGGUGCCGCACUUGUGAAAGUGUGCGGACUUUAUCACACCAUAAUGCGGGGAACAUAAGCCCCUGGUGUAUUUGGCCGUACCAAAAUGUACGGAUGCAACAUGUCGUAAAUGAUCAUAUAUAUAUAAGGUAAUGCUAUUAUGGGCAAAAAGUGCCGCAUUUUAUUCGAGAAGAUCUGCUAUGAGUGCGGAAUGAUACAAAUAGUGCGGAAAACAAGGAAUUGGACGAAUUAAAGGCGUCUCCCUCUAGGGGUAGGCCGCGGAAUGGUGUAUUUAACAAAUUUAAUGCUCGUAAUGGAGACCACCUGAGUGUUCGUCGCAGCCUUUGUCCCUCCCUGGCUGUUGCAUCAUGAGUUCGGCAGGUUCGCCGCUGGACAGAGUCCUGUGUAAAAAAAAGAAAUAAAAGAUAAAAAGAGCCACACACUUGGGAGCCCCUGGUGUGGUCGAACCGCAUUCUGGGUCUGGUGUGGUUGUGCCUCUCCCCCUAUGCCCGUGGUAUCUCCAGGGCGUAAUUAUGUACGCGGAGAGUUUGUCUUACAAUUGUGCGAGGGCUGGGGUUGAGGCCGCAUUGCUACGCGUGCUCGGAACGUGCCAGGUGGUCUUGGUUGAUGUUGCUCCGGGUGCGUUUGGCCGUGUCCGGUCGUUUAACGGCCGGACUCGAAAAUUGCCUUAAAAGGCUGCUCUGUACUUCUGCCGCGAGAGCCCCUGUAUGUUCCUCUGUUCGGAGGGAGCGUUCUGUGUUUCCAUUGACCGUGAUGACUCCACGAGGGCUUGACAUCUUGAGCUUAAGGUAUGCAUAAUGCGGCACCGCGUUGAAUUUUGCGAACGCGGUUCGUCCGAGCAGAGCGUGAUAGCCACUGCGGAAUGGGACUAUGUCGAAGAUUAACUCCUCGCUUCGGAAAUUAUCCGGGGAUCCGAAGACCACUUCCAGUGUAACUGAGCCUGUACAACUGGCCUCGACACCUGGUAUGACGCCUUUGAAGGUUGUCUUUGUAGGUUUAAUCCUUGAAGGGUCUAUGCCCAUCUUGCACACUGUAUCCUGAUAAAGCAGGUUCAGGCUACUGCCGCCGUCCAUCAGGACUCUCGUGAGGUGAAAUCCAUCGACGAUUGGGUCUAAAACCAAUGCGGCGAAUCCGCCAUGGCGGAUACUGGUCGGAUGGUCUCUUCGAUCGAAAGUGAUCGGGCAAGAGGACCAUGGGUUGAAUUUAGGGGCGACUGCCUCCAUCGCGUAUACGUCCCUUAGUGCACGCUUCCGCUCCCUCUUGGGAAUAUGCGUUGCGUAUAUCAUGUUUACCGUCCGAACUUGAGGGGGGAAUCCCUUUUGUCCUCUGUUGUUCGGCGGCCGGGUCUCUUCCUCGUCAUCGCUGUGUAGCCCAUUGUCACUGUUUUCGGCGAUUAAUUUGCCUGCCUGCUUGAAUACCCAACAAUCUCUGUUGGUGUGGUUAGCUGGCUUUUCGGGGGUUCCAUGUAUUUGACAGGAGCGGUCGAGUAUUCGGUCCAAAUUGGACGGGCCCGGAGUGGUUCUUUUGAAUGGCUUCUUCCGUUGACCGGGCUUGGAGCCUCGGAAUCCGGCGUUAACUACCGUAUCCUCAUUGCUGUCGCCGUUAAUGCGGCGUUUGUUUUUGUUUCGACGCAACCUGCUGUUGCGGUCCUUGGUAUCCGGACUGCCAGCGUUUUUGCUGAGGUUGUUGCUGCGAGCUAGCCAGCUAUCCUCUCCCGCAUAGAAGCGGGUCAUGAGUGAUGUGAGGGCUGCCAUGGAUUUCGGCUUUUCCUGUCCUAGGUGCCGGGCCAGCCACUCAUCACGGAUGUUAUGUUUGAAGGCAGCGAGGGCCUCUGCAUCCGGACAGUCGACGAUUUGAUUUUUCUUUGUUAAGAACCGUGUCCAAAAUUGACUGGCCAAUUCGUCUGGCUGCUGGAUUAUGUGGCUUAGGUCAUCUGCGUCCGGUGGUCGCACAUACGUGCCCUGGAAGUUGUCGAGGAAUGCGGCUUCCAGGUCUUCCCAGCAUCCAAUUGACUCUGUGGGCAGGCUGUUAAGCCAAUGCCGAGCUGGUCCUUUAAGCUUGAGCGGGAGAUAUUCGAUGGCGUGAAGAUCGUCGCCGCGGGCCAUAUGUAUAUGGAGGAGAUAAUCCUCAAUCCAAACCGCGGGGUCUGUUGUGCCAUCAUAGGAUUCGAUAUUAACGGGUUUAAACCCUUCAGGGAUUUGAUGAUCCAUUACUUCGUCAGUGAAGCAUAGUGGGUGUGCGGCGCCUCUGUAUUGAGCAAUAUCGUGACGUAGCUUGAGAGAGCGCUGUCUGCUGUGUUCGGCCCGGCCGGAGUAGUUGUAUCCGGCGCGACGGUAUUCGUCGUGGGUCUUGGGGCGCCCACGUGAUCCAUAGAUAGAUCUGGAUUGUCUCGCCUUGUCCUCCAAUAUAUCCCGCAAGUCCUGCGCGUUCCCCCGUGGCUUCAUGCUUUUUGAGCGAUGCCGGGGUACGGUUUUGGUGGAGGGCUUGCAUGCCUCUCUGUCGCGGCCACGAGGUGGUCGGUCUGCCGUAUUGUGCGCUGGUGAUGCAGGUUUGUACGCUUCCUCCUCUAGUCGGGGGAGCAACUUGCGUUUUGGGUAACUUUUGGAGGGGCGUUCGAGUUCAUACUCUUCGGCCGCGAGGACCUCGGUCCAUCUGUCGGCCAGUAGGUCUUGAUCAGCUUGAAGUUGUUGCUGCUUUUUCUUUAGGCUGUUUGCCGUGGCCAUUAGCCUGCGUCUGAAACGCUCUUGUUCGACGGGAUCCUCAGGCACGACGAAUUCAUCGUCGUCGAGGCUUGCCUCGUCUCCGGAGGGAGGUAAGUAAUUAUCAUCCUCGACCUCUUCGUCUGCCGCCCUCUCGUGAGGGCUUGCUUCUGCUUCCUCCUCCGCUUGAUCGUGCUGGAGGGGGUUUUCUUCAGUACUUUCUGGGGUGUUAUUGUCUCCUGUGCCGGAAUCUCUAUUCUUGCUAUGGCAGGAUUUAGAGCGGCACCGCUGAUGCCGGCGCUUGGGCUGUUUCUUUAAGGAAUCGGCCUCCGUUGCUUCUUCGCCGUACCCAUCUUUUGGGGUGUCCACCAUAUAUAUGUCGUAUGACGAGGUGGUCUUCCAGUGUCCUGUAGGCACUGGUUCUUGAUAGUCUCCGGCAUCGUCGUCCAUACCGCCGAUGUCUUCGGAGUCGUAGUCGAGUACGUCGUUUAGAUCGUUGACGGUGGCUACGAAGUGGGUGGUGGGUGGGCCCUGAAUUUCUUCGUCGUCCGCAUCCCAACCAUCCUGGCCGUAGUUCGGCCAGGGCUCUCCGGAUAGCGAGAGAUGCUUCAGCGAAUUUAAGAUAUCGCCGAAGGGUGAGUGCUGAAAGAUGUCCGCAACGGUGAAUUCCAUGAUCGGCGCCCAGUCUGAUUCGACCGGCAGGGGCGCAGGAGGUUCGGAGUCCGGCAGAGAGUCCGACACCUCGGAGUCAUGAGCUUUAUGCGGGACAAGGUAAGUGUUCGGCUCCAUCGCCGUAGAAGUUGCAGCUCCCGAGGCGGUGUCCAGCCAUCCGUCCUCGAUCUGAGCGAUCGGCUCCGGACUAUGGGUCGGAGCGGAUUCAUGUGCGGCCUCCAAGGUGCUAUCCGGUGGCAGAGUUAGGUCGUGCCCAUCAUGACAGCGCGACACGCUCGGCUGUGGCUCAGAUCCAUCGAAGAUCAAGUCCCCGCGGAUAUCGGCCAUGAAGUUUAGGCUUCCAAACCUGACCUGACAGCUAGGGGCGUAGCUUUCGAUCUGCUCCAGAUGGCCAAGUGAGUUGGCCCACAGUGCGAAGCCGCCGAAUACGAAGAUCUGUCCGGGGAGAAAAGUCUCACCCAGGACUGCGUCGUUGUCGAUUGAAGAGGCCAUCAAGCCUAUCGGUGACGACACAGAGGAACUCUCAAUGAAAGCACCAAUGUCGGUGUCAAAACCGGCGGAUCUCGGGUAGGGGGUCCCGAACUGUGCGUCUAGGCGGAUGGUAACAGGAGACAAGGGACACGAUGUUUUACCCAGGUUCGGGCACUCUUGAUGGAGGUAAAACCCUACGUCCUGCUUAAUGUAUAUUGAUAUUGUGGAUGUUUACAAGAGUGGAUCUACCACGAGAUCAAGGAGGCUAAACCCUAGAAGCUAGCCUAUGGUAUGAUUGUAAUGGUUGUUGUUGUUAUGUCCUAUGGACUAGAGCCAUCCGGUUUAUAUAGACACCGGAGAGGGCUAGGGUUACAAUGGUAGGAGAUCUACAUAUCCGUAUCGCCAAGCUUGCCUUCGACGCCAAGGAAAGUCCCAUCCGGACACGGGACGAAGUCUUCAAUCUUGUAUCUUCAUAGUCUUGGAGUCCGGUCGAUGAUGAUAGUCCGGCCGAUGAUAGUUCGGCUGAUGAUGGUAGUCCGGCUAUCCGGACACCCCCUAAUCUAGGACUCCCUCACCCCUCCUCUUUGGAGAUCAAGCCCCCACCUAGGGAAGAAUCAUUUGGAUUGUCAAGGCCUCCUCUUGGAGAAUAGCAACAUCAAGACCUCACCUAGUGGGAAGAACUUACCUAGUGCUAUUAUCCUCGGAUUGAUCUUGUAAUCUUGUGGAUCUCAUGUAUGCUACUCUAGUCGAUGUGAUAUUUGGGUUUGUUUGAGAGUUUUGUUCUUGGUGUUCUUGAGUUUUCCCUCCUUUUCCCCCCUCCAAGUGUGAAAAGAUCCCACCUAGGGUUUGACCCUACAACACUAUGUCACUUCUAAAUGGAGAGAGAACCCGUAGGUGAAAUUUUAAUAUAAAUCAUAAUAGAAUCCUAGUUGUGAUCCUUGUUAAAAUCAAAAAAAUCAUUGUUGUUUGAUGAGGUGGGGAAGGAAGAGGUUUUGUUACCCAGUGAUAAUUGGGUCCCGCAUAGAAACUUUUUUAGGUUGUAUUUAUGGUGCAUCUAAGUUGACGCUUUGCCUCACAUCCUCCAUAAUAUUAUCGAGAACAAUUCAUACACGUUAUGGAAGCUGCCAAUAUGGUGACUCGGACAGAGUUGCUCUAAAUCCCACCUUGGGGGAGUUCCACCUCUCCGCGUUGAUCAGACUGGUUCACUCUAAGGUCUCCUUCAAGCUGACAACUGUCUAUGGGCCAACAAAUAAUAGCCAUAAGGAUGAUUUCUUGGCGGAAAUUGUGGGGCAGAAGCCAAUGACGGGGCCCUUGUGGUUGGUGAACGGAGAUUUCGACAAGAUUUAUAGAGCAAAGGAUAAGAACAAAUGGAACACUAACAUCUCGUGCAUAAACCACUUUUGCAGCACUUUGGAUGCUUGUGAGCUAAAAGAGAUCCAUCUACCGAACCAAAAGUUCACAUAGAGCAACGAGCGCAUUGACCCCACCCUCUACAAGUUAGACAGUUUCUUCUACUAUCCAGAGUGAGACCUCCAAUUUGGUUCUCACGUGGUCGCUGCCAUGGUGACCUCACUCUCCGACCACUGCCCGUUGUUCCUGGCUAGUGACCUUGGCCCUAAGAGGCCCCGAUAAUUCAAGUUCGAGACUUCUGGAUCAAGUUUCCGGGGUUAGGACAAGUGUAGAUGAGAUUUGGGCCGAGCCUACUGCGCACAUGGAGUCGUGCCGGAUCUUCGCUGAGAAACUUCGACGCAUCGGGGUUGCCCUCCGGCAAUGGAGCAACGGUUUCUUUUCAGAUGCAAAGCUGCAGCAAACCGUGGCCCACGAAGUAAUUCUCAGGUCGGACAUGGCCAUGGACUUUGGCACUUUCUCCGGAGGAGCGGGAGUUGAUAUUGAGAUUAAAUAGAAGAGUGAUUGGCCUAGCGAUGCUGGAGAGAGCCAAAAAGCGACAAGCAAUGUGGAUUAUCAAUCUGAAGGAGGGUGAUGCAAAUACCAAGUUUUUUCACCUCAAGGCUAACGCCAGAAGAAGAAGAACUUCAUCAAGCACUUGCGGAAAGUGACAGGCUGAGCAACGACUCACGAAGACAAAGCAUCGGUGACACAUGACCACUUGUCGACCAUGCUUCACAGGGAUGUCCAGCCUGAGAAGGACUUCAACUGGGAUAGGUUUGAGUUUUCCCAAUGCGAGUUGGCUAGCUUGGCUAAGCCUUUCAAUGAGAAGGAGGUGCUGGACGCAAUUGGGGACAUGCUGAUACGUCCAUUUUGCAUCAUGCUUUUAUAUCGAUAUUUAUUGCAUUAUGGGCUGUUAUUACACGUCAUGUCACAAUACUUAUGGCUAUUCUCUCUUAUUUUACAAGGUUUACAUGAAGAGGGAGAAUGCCGGCAAUUGGGAUUCUAGGCUGGAAAAGGAGCAAAUAUUGGAGACCUAUUCUGCACAGCUCCAAAAGUCCUGAAACUCCACGAAAGUCAUUUUUGGAAUUAGAGCAGAAGAAAUACCAGAGGGGGGCCACCCACCGUCCACGAGGGUGGGGGGCGCGCCCUACCCCCCUGGGUGCGCCCCCUGCCUCGUGGGCCACCUGGCAGCCCUCCGGUGCCCAUCUUCUGCUAUAUGAAGUCUUUUACCCUGGAAAAAAUCAUAAGAAAGCUUAUGGGACGAAACUCUGCCGCCAUGAGGCAGAACCAAUCUAGGGCUCCGGCGGAGCUGUUCUGCCAGGGAAACUUCCCUCUGGGAGGGGGAAAUCAUCACCAUCGUCAUCACCAAUGAUCCUCUCAUUGGGAGGGGGUCAAUCUCCAUCAACAUCUUCACCAGCACCAUCCUCUCUCAAACCCUAGUUCAUCUCUUGUAUCCAGUCUUUGUACCAAAACCUCAGAUUGGUACCUGUUGGUUGCUAGUAGUGUUGAUUACUCCUUGUAGUUGAUGCUAAUUGGUUUAUUUGGUGGAAGAUCAUAUGUUUAGAUCCUUAAUGCAUAUUAAUACCCCUCUGAUUAUGAACAUGAAUAUACUUUGUGAGUAGUUACGUUUGUUCCUGAGGACAUGGGUGAAGUCUUGCUAUUAGUAGUCAUGUGAAUUUGGUAUUCGUUCGAUAUUUUGAUGAAAUGUAUGUUGUCUCUCCUCUAAUGGUGUUAUGUGAAUGUCGACUACAUGAAACUUCACCAUUAUUUGGGCCUAGAGGAAGGCACUGGGAAGUAAUAAGUAGAUAAUGGGUUGCAAGAGUGACAGAAGCUUAAACCCUAGUUUAUAAGUUGCUUCGUAAGGGGCUGAUUUGGAUCCAUAUGUUUCAUGCUAUGGUUAGGUUUACCUUAAUACUUAUUUUGUACUUACGGAUGCUUGCAAUAGGGGUUAAUCAUAAGUGGGAUUCUUGUCCAAGAAAGGAUAGUACCCAAGCACCGGUCCACCCACAUAUCUAAUUAUCAAAGUAACGAACACGAAUCAUAUGAGCGUGAUGAAAACUAGCUUGAUGAUAAUUCCCAUGUGUCCUCGGGAGCGCUUUUCUCUAUAUAAAAACUUGUCCAGGCUUGUCCUUUUCUACGAAAAGGAUUGGGCCACCUUGCUGCAUCUUAUUUAGUUUAAUUGCUUGUUACCCAUUACAAAUUAUCUUAUCACAAAACUAUCUGUUAUCGAUAAUUUCAAUGCUUGCAGAGAAUACCUUACUAAAAACCGCUUGUCAUUUCCUUCUACUCCUCGUUGGGUUCGACAAUCUUACUUAUCAAAAGUACUACGAUAGAUCCCCUACACUUGUGGGUCAUCCAGACUCUUUUCUGGCGCCGUUGUCGGGGAUUGAAGCGCCUUUGGUGAGUGGAACUUGGUAAGGAAACAUUUAUAUAGUGUGCUGAAAUUUACUGUCACUUGUUACCGAUUUCACCACAGGAAAAUAGUUUGCCACUUAUUCUGUGUUUCGUCUGUUCCAGCUCCACUCAAUGAAUCUUGUCCUCUACAAGCAUCACAUUUUUUUUCAAAUGCUUUGUGCUGUGACUCAAGGAUCAAACCCAUUCAUGACAAAUUCCAGAAGCUCUUCUUGGAAAUUGAUGUCAAAGGGGGAGAGAGAGAUCACAUCAAAGCUUAUCAUUUAGAGAGAGAUCACAUAAGAGAAUAUCACUUCCACAGGGGGAGAGAGAGAUCUCCAGGGGGAGAAAAUACUCAAGUAGAAAGUAUUUCUCAAGGAUCCCAGAUGCUUGGUGUUCAAGAGGAGAGAUGCCACAUGUCUUUUUGGGGGAAAGACAUGUUCAUAUGUGCUUAUUUGCAUUAGUUUGCACUAGCUCUGUUCAUUCAGAUUCUUUCAGCUCUGAUUUUCUGUUCCCUAUCUUCUCCCAGUAUCCCAUUUUAGAUUCAGGGGGAGCAAGACAUCUAAGGGAAGAAAUCAUUUAAAUUCAUUGCAUAUUUUUACUCUUGGGGACAUGUCUAAUACAAUGUGGUACUUAGUACUCACUCUCUACAUGUCAUCCCAGUCUGGGCAUUCUUGUAGUUUCUUCUGUUUGCUUUGGCUAGUAGAUGUACCUGUGUUAUCUAACCUUGUUUCUGCAGGUUCAUUCCAUCCUAAGCCAACUCAAGACUACAAGGUAAGUAUAUGCAUCACAAUCAUGUGUAUGAGGAAUUCUUGCUGAUGUAUAUACUGUUUGCAAGAAGGACUCAUGAGCAUGAAGGUAUUUUCUUUAAUAUUCUUUUCUCUGAUGCAUAUGGCCAAGAUACAUGUAAAACAUUGCCUGCUCUAUCAUGGUUAUGCUCUCACAUGCUUCCAUAUUCUAUAUAUCACAUGAUUGCAUACAUGUAGGGGGAGCCUAUGCUGGUUACAUGUCUUUCCAAAGCUUUACUUGAUAUUCUCUAUACCUUUAUCUAAAGCUUUGAUGUAUGUUGUCAUCAAUUACCAAAAAGGGGGAGAUUGAAAGCACAAGUGCUCCCUAGGUGGUUUUGGUAAUUAAUGUAAACAUAUCUCUUGUUGGACUAACACUUUUAUCUAGUAUAUUUCAGACAAGUUCAACAUUGGAGUGGCAUGGACUAAAGGAUGUGGGAACUCCUUCAAGAUGCUAAGGGCAAAGGAUUGGCUAAAGCUUCAAGCUCAAGACUCUUCAUUUUAUAUUUCAGUGAUCCAAGAUCACAUUGAGUCUAUAGGAAAAGCCAACACUAUCAAGGAGGGAUGAGGUGUUGCUUAAUGAGCCUCUUGCUUCAUGUGCUUAGUGAUAUGCUCCAAAACCCUCAACUACUUUCUCACAUCCACAUAUGACCUAAACCUAAAGCCCAAAAUCAGUCACACCGAUUUUUCUUAUCCGGCACCACCGAUUUUGAAUGUCAUAGACACUGCCACAAACCCUAGGCAAAUCAGUCUCACCGAUAGGGAUCUCGAUCUCACCGAGAUGGGAUUGCAAUCUCUCUGUGUAUGUCCAUUACCAAAAUCGGUCUCACCAAGUUUGUGUAAUCGGUACUACCAAGAUUACAAUGCAAACUUUCUGGUUAACUUAUUACCAAAAUCGGUCCCACCGAGUUUGAGUAAUCGGUCCCACCGAGUUUGCCUGACCAACUCUCUGGUUAGCUAAUUACCAAAAUCGGUCUUACCGAGUUUGUGUAAUCGGUCUCACCGAGAUUACAUUAUGCCCUAACCCUAACCAUAUCGGUCUCACCGAGUUGCGUUUCGGUCCCACCGAAAAUCCUAACCGUCACUAGGUUUACUAAAUCGGUCUGAACGAGUUUGUUGAUUCGGUCCCACCGAGAUUGGUAAAUUGUGUGUAACGGUUAGAUUUUGUGUGGAGGCUAUAUAUACCCCUCCACCUCCUCUUCAUUCGUGGAGAGAGCCAUCAGAACAAGCCUACACUUCUAGCAUCCUAUUUCUGAGAGAGAACUACCUACUCAUGUGUUGAGGCCAAGAUAUUCCAUUCCUACCAUAUGAAUCUUGAUCUCUAGCCUUCCCCAAGUUGCUUUCCACUCAAAUCUUCUUUCCACCAGAUCCAAAUCCUAUGAGAGAGAGUUGAGUGUUGUGGAGACUAUCAUUUGAAGCACAAGCGCAAGGAGUUCAUCAUCAACGCACCAUUUGUUACUUCUUGGAGAGUGGUGUCUCCUAGAUUGGCUAGGUGUCACUUGGGAGCCUCCGACAAAGAUUGUGGAGUUGAACCAAGGAGUUUGUAAGGGCAAGGAGAUCACCUACUUCAUGAAGAUCUACCGCUAGUGAGGCAAGUCCUUCGUGGGCGACGGCCAUGGUGGGAUAGACAAGGUUGCUUCUUCGUGGACCCUUCUUGGGUGGAGCCCUCUGUGGACUCGCGCAACCGUUACCCUUCGUGGGUUGAAGUCUCCAUCAACGUGGAUGUACGAUAGCACCACCUAUCGGAACCACGCCAAAAACAUUCGUGUCUCCAAUUGCGUUUGAAUCCUCCAAAACCCUUCCCUUUACAUUCUUGCAAGUUGCAUGCUUUACUUUCCGCUGCUCAUAUACUCUUUGCAUGCUUGUUUGCUAUAUGUUGUGAAUGUUAAAUUUGUGCCUAAACUCCACUUAAACUUAAAAAGGGUUAAAAACUGCAACUUUGGUACUUAGUGUCUAAUCACCCCCCCUCUAGACACCUCUUCUCAAGGUCCUACAUGAACCUACUGAAAAUGUUUACUUUGAAAUUCCUUCGGGUAUGGUAGAAAAACUGCUAGCUAAUCCCUUUGCAGGAGACGGAACAUUGCAUCCCGAUUUACACCUUAUCUAUGUGGAUGAAGUUUGUGGAUUAUUUAAGCUUGCAGGUAUGCUCGAUGAUGUUGUUAAGAAGAAGGUCUUCCCUUUGUCUUUGAAGGGAGAUGCAUUGACAUGGUAUACGCUAUGUGAUGAUAUGGGAUCCUGGGACUAUAAACGGUUGAAAUUGGAAUUUGACCAAAAGUUUUAUCGUAUGCAACUUGUUCAUCGUGAUCGUAAUUAUAUUAUAUAAUUUUUGGCCUCACAAAGAAGAAAGCAUCGCUCAAGCUUGGGGGAGGCUUAAGUCAAUGUUAUAUUCAUGCCCCAAUCAUGAGCUCUCAAGAGAAAUGAUUAUUCAAAAAAUUUAUGCUCGGCUUUCUCUCAAUAAUCGCACCAUGCUCGAUACUUCUUGUGCUGGUUCUUAUAUGAUGAAGACUAUUGAAUUCAAGUGGGAUUUAUUGGAAAGAGUUAAACGCAACUAUGAAGAUUGGGAUUCCGACGUUGGUAAGGAGUCAGGUAUGACACCUAAGUUUGAUUGUGUUAAAUCUUUUAUGGAUACCGAUGCUUUUCGUGGAUUUAGCACUAAAUAUGGACUUGACUCUGAGAUAGUAGCUUCUUUCUGUGAAUCAUUUGCUACUCAUGUUGAUCUCCCUAAGGAGAAGUAGUUUAAAUAUAAUCCUCCCACUGAAGUAAAAGUAGUUGCACCUGUUACAUUUGAAGAAAAGAUUAUCACUUAUAAUGAUCCUAUUGUUCCUACUACUUAUGUUGAGAAACCACCUUUCCCUGUUAGGAUAAAGGAUCAUGCUAAAGCUUCAAUUGUGGUUCGUAAGAGUAAUACUAGAACAUAUACACCUCCUGAGCAAAUUAAAGUUGAACCUAGUGUUGCUAUGGUUAAAGAUCUCUUGGCAGAUAAUUUUGAUGGACAUGUUAUUUAUUUCUGUGAUGAAGCUACUAGAAUUGCUAGACCCGAUGCUAAGAAACAUAGACCUGUUGUAGGCAUGCCUGUUAUUUCUGUUAAAAUAGGAGAUCAUUGUUAUCAUGGCUUAUGUGAUAUGGGUGCUAGCGCUAGUGCAAUACCUCAUUCCUUAUAUGAAGAAAUUAUGCAUGAUAUCGCACCCGCUGAAAUAGAAUAUAUUGAUGUUACUAUUAAGCUUGCAAAUAUAGAUACUAUUUCACCAAUUGGGAUUAUUAGAGAUGUCGAAGUCUUGUGUGGAAAAGUUAAAUAUCCUGCUGAUUUUCUUGUUCUUGGUUCCCCACAAGAUAGCUUUUGUCCCAUUAUAUUUGGUAGAACCUUCUUGAAUACUAUUAAUGCUAAGAUUGAUUGCAAAAAGGAUGUUGUUACUAUUGGUUUAGGGGAUAUGUCUCAGGAGUUUAAUUUUGCUAAGUUUCGUAGACAACCCCAUGAUAAAGAAUUGCCUAGUAAGGAUGAGAUUAUUGGUCUUGGUUCUAUUGCCGUGCGCCCUAAUGAUCCUUUAGAACAAUAUUUGCUAGACCAUGAAAAUGAUAUGUGUAUGAAUGAAAGAAGGGAAAUAGAUGAAGUAUUCUUUAAACAGGGUCCUAUUUUGAAACACAACUUACCUGUUGAAAUCCUAGGGGAUCCCCCUCCACCCAAGGGUGAUCCCGUGUUUGAGCUUAAACCAUUACCUGAUACUCUUAAAUAUGCUUACCUUGAUGAGAAGAAGAUAUAUCAUGUUAUUAUUAGUGCUAACCUUUCAGAGCAGGAAGAGGAAAGAUUAUUGAAAACACUGAAGAAGCACUGUGCUGCUAUUGGAUAUACUCUUGAUGAUCUUAAGGGCAUUGGUCCCACUUUAUGCCAACACAAAAUAAAUUUGGAAGAAGAUGCCAAACCAGUUAUUGAUCACCAACGGCGUUUAAAUCCUAAGAUGAAAGAAGUGGUAAGAAAGGAAAUACUAAAGCUCCAUGAGGCAGGUAUAAUUUAUCCCGUUGCUGAUAGUCAGUGGGUAAGUCAUGUCCAUUGUGUCCCUAAGAAGGGAGGUAUUACUGUUGUUCCUAAUGAUAAAGAUGAAUUGACCCCGCAAAGAAUUAUUACAGGUUAUAGGAUGCUAAUUGAUUUCCGUAAAUUAAAUAAAGCUACUAAAAAGAUCAUUACCCUUUACCUUUUAUUGAUCAAAUUCUAGAAAGACUAUCCAAACAUAUAUAUUUUUGCUUUCUAGAUGGUUACUCUGGAUUCUCUCAAAUACCUGUGUCAGCGGAUGAUCAAGCAGAGCCUACUUUUACUUGCCCUUUCGGUACUUUUGCUUAUAGACGUAUGCCUUUUGGUUUAUGUAAUGCACCUGCUACCUUUCAAAGAUGCGUGAUGGCUAUAUUCUCUAACUUUUGUGAAAAGAUUUGUGAGGUAUUCAUGGAUGAUUUCUCCAUUUAUGGAUCCUCCUUUGAUGAUUGUUUGAGCAACCUUGAACAAGUUUUGCAGAGAUGCGAAGAUACUAGUCUUCUUUUGAAUUGGGAGAAGUGCCACUUUAUAGUUAAUGAAGACAUUGUCUUGGGGCAUAAAAUUUCUGAAAGAGGUAUUGAAGUUGAUAAAGCUAAAGUUGAUGCUAUUGAAAAGAUGUCGUGUCCCAAGGACAUUAAAGGUAUAAGAAGUUUCCUUGGUCAUGCCGGUUUUUAUAGAUUCAUUAAGGACUUUUCUAAAAUUUAUAGGCCUCUGACUAAUCUAUUACAAAAAGAUAUUCCUUUUGUCUUCAAGGAUGAUUGUGUAGAAGCAUUUGAAAUGCUUAAGAAAGCUUUGAUUUCUGCACCUAUUGUUCAGCCACCCGAUUGGAAUUUACCCUUUGAAAUUAUGUGUGAUGCUAGUGAUUAUGCUGUAGGGGCUGUUCUAGGACAAAGUGUUGAUAAGAAAUUAAAUGUUAUUCAAUAUGCUACUAAAACUCUAGACACUGCUGGGAGAAAUUAUGCUACCACUGAAAAAGAAUUCUUAGCAGUUGUAUUUGCUUGUGAUAAGUUCAGACCCUAUAUUGUUGAUUCUAAAGUAACUAUUCACACUGAUCAUGCUGUUAUUAAAUAUCUUAUGGAAAAUAAAGAUGCUAAACAUAGACUUAUUAGAUGGGUUCUCUUGCUACAAGAAUUUGAUUUGCAUAUUAUUGAUAGAAAGGGAGCUGAGAACCCCGCUGUAGACAACUUAUCUAGGUUAGAGAAUAUUCUUGAUGACCCACUACCUAUUGAUGAUAGCUUUCCUGAUGAACAAUUAGCUGUCGUAAAUGCUUCUCUUACUGCUCCAUGGUAUGAUGAUUAUGCUAAUUACAUUGUUGCUAAAUUUAUACCACCUAGUUUCACAUACUAGCAAAAGAAAAAGUUCUUUUACGAUUUAAGACAUUACUUUUCUGGGAUGACCCACACCUUUAUAAAGAAGGAGUAGAUGGUGUUAUUAGAUGUCGUGUACCUGAGUAUGAACAUGAACAGAUCCUACGCAAGUGUCACUCCGAGGCAUAUGGAGGACACCACGCUGGAGAUAGAACAACACACAAGGUAUUGCAAUCCUGUUUUUAUUGGCCUAUUCUCUUCAAAGAUGCCUGUAAGUUUGUUUUGUCUUGUGAUGAAUGUCAAAGAAUUGGUAAUAUUAGUAGACGUCAAGAAAUUCCUAUGAAUUAUUCUCUUGUUAUUGAACCGCUUGAUGUUUGGGGCUUUGAUUAUAUGGGACCUUUCCCUGCCUCUAAUGGAUAUACACAUAUCUUAGUUGUUGUUCAUUACGUUACUAAGUGGGUAGAAACCAUUCCAACUAGUAGUGAUGAUCAUAACACCUCUAUUAAGAUGCUUAAAGAAGUUAUUUUUCCGAGGUUUGGAGUCCCUAGAUACUUAAUGACUAACGGUGGUUCACAUUUUAUUCAUGGUGCUUUUCAUAAAAUGCUUGCUAAGUAUGAUGUUAAUCAUAGAAUUGCAUCUCCUUAUCACCCACAGUCUAGUGGUCAAGCAGAAUUGAGUAAUAGAGAGCUCAAAUUAAUUUUGCAAAAGACUAUUAAUAGAUCUAGAAAGAAUUGGUCCAAAAAACUUGAUGAUCCGUUAUGGGCCUAUAGACCUGCAUAUAAGAAUCCUAUGGGUAUGUCUCCGUAUAAAAUGGUUUAUGGAAAAGCAUGUCACUUACCUCUCGAACUUGAACAUAAGGCAUAUUGGGCUAUUAAAGAGCUCAAUUAUGAUUUCAAACUUGCAGGUGAGAAGAGGUUAUUUGACAUUACCUCACUUGAUGAAUGGAGAACCCAAGCCUAUGAGAAUGCCAAGUUGUUUAAAGAAAAAGUUAAAGAUGGCAUGACAAAAGGAUACAAAAGCGUGAGUUUAAUGUAGGUGAUUAUGUUUUGCUUUUCAACCCACGUUUAAUAUUUUCUGCAGGAAAACUUCUCUCUAAAUGGGAAGGCCCUUACGUUAUCGAGGAGAUUUAUCGUUCCGGUGCCAUAAAAAUCAACAACUUCGAAGGCACAAAUCCGAAGGUGGUGAACGGUCAAAGAAUCAAACAUUAUAUCUCAAGUAAUCCUAUAAAUGUUGAAAGCAAUAUUAUUGAAACCGUAACCCCGGAGGAAUACAUAAGGGACACUUUCCAGAACAUUUCAGACUCCAAGAAGGUAUAGGUAUGUGGUACGGUAAGUAAACCGAAUCCCAAAAUAAUUCUAAAAACAAUUUUUCUCCGUUUUGGAAUAUUUAUGAAAAUAGGAAAAUAAGAAGUAGUCCGGGAAGGACACGAGGCGUCCACGAGGGUGGAGAGUGCGCCCCCUACCUCGUGGGCACCUCAUGUGCUCUCCGGACUCUGUUUUCUUGCAUGAUACUUCUUUUGGACGGUAAAAAUUCAUUAUAUAAUCUCCCGAAGGUUUUGACCACCGUAUCACGCAAAUAUCCUCUGUCUUUGUUUAGAGCUGUUUUCUGUCAGAUUUGUCAAGGCCACGCAUCAUGACGUCACCCUCCUCCAACAAUGAAGACAAGGAUGCUUGGCUAUUGAAGAUAGAAAUGAAGAGAGAAGAACCCGGGGAGAUUAACAAGGAUGAUGGGAUCAAUAAGGCCAUGGAGGGUCAACCACCGGCGGCAAAAGAAGAAAACAUCCUUCAACCUCUUCCUAACCUCUUUACUCCAACUGAGAUUGAAGCUUUCAAGAUGAUUGAGUUAGCUCGCAUACAAAACAAGUAUCUCACCCAGGAAAAUAUUUUGUUGAAGGAUCAUAUCGUCGCACUCAAGGGCAUUAUCCGCAAAUUGGAGGAUCUUUUACGCUCGAUGUGCGACUAUCCACUGUCACCAUCACCACCUUCAUCACCUCCAAGGACAUAAUCACAUGGGUAUGGGCACUCCCCUUGGCAACUGCCAAGCUUGGGGGAGGUGCCCCGGUAUCGUAUCACUAUCACACUCCUAUCUUUACCGUUUUACUUAGUUCGAUCCUUUUGGUAAUAUCUUGAUCUAGUAGAAUAAAGUUUUGGUAUGGUUUAGUUUUGAGUUUUGCUUUGUGAUCCCUCUAUGUAAUUGAGUCCGUGAGCUAUAUAUAAUAAAGAUUAGUGUUGAGUCGAGGGCUUUGCUAUCUUGCUACGAUCUUGAGAAAGAAGAAAAAGAAUAAAAAGAAAUAAAAGAAACCAUAUUGAUCUUAUGGAUAGUAAUGACUUCACAUAUAAAGAGUAUGAGGCAUAAAAGUUGUUGAGAGUUAGCAAACAUAGUUUGGUCAUCGUUGCAAUUAAUAGGAAGUAAUAAAGAAAGAGAGGUUCUCACAUAUAAAUAUACUAUCUUGGACAUCUUUUAUGAUUGUGAGCACUCAUUAAAAUAUGACAUGUUAAAGAGUUGAUGUUGGACAAGGAAGACAACGUAAUGGGUUAUGUUUUAUCACAUCUCAAUUAAAGUAUAUUGUCAUGGAUCGUCCAACAUGUUGAGUUUGCCUUUCCCCCUCAUGCUAGCCAAAUUCCUUGCACCAAGUAGAGAUACUACUUGUGCUUCCAAACAUCCUUAAACCCAGUUUUGCCAUGAGAGUCCACCAUAUCUACCUAUGGAUUGAGUAAGAUCCUUCAAGUAAGUUGUCGUGUUGCAAGCAAUAAAAAUUGCUCUCUAAAUAUGUAUGACUUAUUAGUGUGGAGAAAAUAAGCUUUAUACGAUCUUGUGAUAUGGAAGUAAUAAAAGCGACAGACUGCAUAAUAAAGGUUCAUAUCACAAGUGGCAAUAUAAAGUGACAUUCUUUUGCAUUAAGAUUUCGUGCAUCCAACCCUAAAAGCACAUGACAACCUCUGCUUCCCUCUACGAAGGGCCUAUCUUUUACAUUAUGCAAGAGUCAAGGUGAUCUUCACCUUUCCCUUUUUAUUUUAUCCUUUGGCAAGCACCUUGUGUCGGAAAGAUCCUGAUAUAUAUUGUUGACAUUACCCUUGAGGUAAAAUGUUGGGAGGCAACAUUAUAAGCCCCUAUCUUUCUCUGUGUCCGAUUAAAACUCCAUAACCAUAAGUAUUGCGUGAGUGUCAGUAAUUGUGAAAGACUAAAUGAUAGUUGAGUAUGUGGACUUGCUGAAAAGCUCUUAUAUUGACUCUUUCCUAUGUUACGAUAAAUUGCAAUUGCUUCAAUGACUGAGAUUAUAGUUUGUUAGUUCUCAACGAAGUUUCUGAUUCAUACUUGACAUUGUGAAUAGAUUGUUACUUGAGCAUAAGAAAUCAUAUGACAAAAUAUAUAUGUUGCUGUUAUAAGAAUGAUCAUGAUGCCCUCAUGUCUGUAUUUUAUUUUAUCGACACCUCUAUCCCUAACCAUGUGGACAUAUUUUUUGAUAUCGGCUUCCGCUUGAGGACAAGCGAGGUCUAAGCUUGGGGGAGUUGAUACGUCAAUUUUGCAUCAUGCUUUUAUGUCGAUAUUUAUUGCAUUAUGGGCUGUCAUUACGCGUCAUGUCACAAUACUUAUGGCUAUUCUCUCUUAUUUUACAACGUUUAUAUGAAGAGCGAGAAUGCCGGCAGGUGGGAUUCUGGGCUGGAAAAGGAGCAAAUAUUGGAGACCUAUUCUGCACAACUCCAAAAGUCCUGAAACUCCACGAAAGUCAUUUUUGGAAUUAAUAAUAAAAAUUGAGCAGAAGAAAUACCAGAGGGGGGCCACCCACCAUCCACAAGGGUGGGGGCGCGCCCUACCCCCCGGGUGCGCCCCCUGCCUCGUGGGCCACCUGGUAGCCCUCCGGUGCCCAUCUUCUGUUAUAUGAAGUCUUUUACCCUGGAAAAAAUCAUAAGAAAGCUUAUGGGACGAAACUCCGCCGCCACGAGGCAGAACCAACCUAGGGCUCUGGUGGAGCUGUUCUGCCGGGAAAACUUCCCUCCGGGAGGGGGAAAUCAUCACCAUCGUUGUCGGUGUCAAAACCGGCGGAUCUCGGGUAGCGGGUCCUGAUCUGUGCGUCUUAGGCUGAUGGUAACAGGAAGCAAGGGACACAAUGUUUACCCAGGUUCGGGCCCUCUCAAUGGAGGUAAAACCCUACUUCCUGCUUGAUUAAUAUUGAAGAUAUGAGUAGUACAAGAGUAGAUCUACCACGAGAUCGUAGAGGCUAAACCCUAAGAGCUAGCCUAUGAUGGUAUGAUUGUAAUUGUGAUCGUCCUUCUAAGGACCAUCCUCUCCGGUUUAUAUAGACACCGGAGAGGGCUAGGGUUUACAUGGAUUCAGUUACAAGGAAGGAAAUAUAAUAUCCGAAUCGCCAAGCUUGUCUUCCACGCAAAGGAGAGUCCCAUCCGGACACGGGCCGGAGUCUCGAGUCUUGUAUCUUCACGCCUCAAUAGUCCGGACGAUGUAUAUAGUCCGGCUGUCCGGAUACCCCUUAAUCCAGGACUCCCUCAGUAGCCCCUGAACCAGGCUUCAAUGAAAGUGAGUCCGGCGCGCGGUCUUGUCUUCGGCAUUGCAAGGCGGGUUCCUCCUUCCGAAUACUCCAAGGUUAUUAUCGAACAUGUAGACCGUGUCCGGAUCUGCAAGAUGAUCUCCACACACCAUUAUAGGGAACAUAGCAAAAAUCCGUUCUGCUGGCAAUCUUUGUACGUCGUGCCCUUGCAUCGUGGCCUGGUCCAACACGAACCGGCACUUCCUGCCCCACCUUGACUCGCGUUGCGAGGCAGUCUUAUUGGCACGUCCUGCCAAAGCAGAGAUCGUGUUCCUCUUAUUAAGGGAUCUUUCAUCAAUACGGGCGUGUGUGACCCCACGGCGACCGUUGGUAUGACUCUUUGUAUUUUAGAUAAGUCUCAAGCGGUCACGCUGAGGACUCUUGAUAUUGAUCCCUUUUAUAAAGGGGUCAAGGCCUACGCCUCUUUUCCACCUCCCCUGCUCCUUCUCGCACCUCGAGUUCUAACACCCAAGACCCAAGCUCCAACACCCCAGAUCCUCCAACAUGUCCGGAUCCGACGCAAAAGGCCGGUGGGUGGCCUCCUCGAUCCAAGAGGAGGAUAUUAUGAAGCUUAGGGAGGUCGUAUACCUGACUGCCGAUAUCCAGCAUAGGCUUCCUGCUCCAGGGCAAGUCAUCCCUACGCUGGAGCCCAAUGAGAGUGUUGUGUUCGUUCCUCACUUCCUCCGAGGCCUAGGCCUCACCCUCGACCCCUUUGUGAGGGGGCUCAUGUUCUACUAUGGGUUGGAUUUUCAUGAUCUGGCUCCAGACACCAUCCUCCAUAUCUCGUCGUUCAUUAUUGUGUGCGAGGCUUUUCUCCACGUCUCCCCACACUUCGGCUUAUGGCUCAAGACCUUUAAUGUGAAGCCGAAGAUGAUCGAGGGGAGACAUGCGGAGUGCGGAGGUACCAUAAUAAGCAAGAACGCUGAUGCCCCAUGGCCAGAGGGUUCUUUCCCGGAAGUAUCCGAUGUGUGGCAACGGAGGUGGUUUUAUGCUACAGCUCCCAGAGGCACAAAGUGGGUAGCCGCCCCCGCAUUCCGCUCAGGCCCUCCGUCAUAGUUGGCGUCUUGGACCGACGUAGGACGGAAUUAUGGGCCUGCUGGCGAUGUACCAGAACUGCAGAAUCGCAUCCGGGAGCUUAUUGAGAGGGACAUAAAUCUUGUCAGCAUAAUACAAGUGAUGCUAAUCCGACGGAUGUUGCCGUGCAAACGUCGGCCUCUCUGGAUGUGGGAGUUUAAUCCGGAGGGUCCACGGACUAUUAAGCACUUCUUCGGCCAGAAGCUCGAAGGGAUGUGUAAAUUAUUCUUCGGACCACAAGUAAAGUGUCCGGACACCAUCGAGGAUGCGGGCCUAAGCUGCAAUCGCCUAGAUGCCCAAGUAAGUAACCUUAAAGACGAACACUUCAUUUAUAUUUAUCAUAACUAUUAUUCUAAAAAUCCCUCUGUGGCCAGGAAUGGCUCAACAAGGCGGAGAGAAUCAGGUGUCCGGCGCCACUUCCUGAAGGCUCGCCUAGUCCAACCAUUGCCAAGAUGCUUGGCCGGGCACUCAGCAAAAUCCCCUCAGGGAAAGGCGAAGGAAAGGGCACUGAAGCCGAACUUCACACACUACGCAUCCAGACCGGGGGAAUCGCUACCUCUCCUAUGGAGGAUAGUCAGGAAGGGGAGGCUAAAGCCUCCUCCCCACGCGGGAGGAAAAGGGCCGCCUCCAAAGACUUGGAGGCGGAGAUGCCCAAGCAAGGGAAGAAGGUAUCACCAGGGGGCUCUGCCACGACGGGCACCCUCACCGCGUCGCGCCCUCCAACGGGCCAGCCCUCCACCGAGCUGUAAGUUGUUCGUUAAUUCGAAGGCAUGAUGUUUCUCCGAGAUCCAUUACCGAGACUUCGUCUUUUUCAGUCUGACGAGCAGCUCUUCUCAACAGAGUUCGUCUUCGGGGGAUCUUCUUCCGGAGAUGAUGGAGAGUGAGACCCCACCCACCUCUCCGCCUCAUGAAGCGGGCAACACUGAGGUGUCGUCACGGAGGAGUCCGGAUCUGCCGAAGCAGGAGGCUAACACGUCAAUCGCCCUGAGCCCGGAGCAUUUGGCACCCAUGGGGGGCGAUGAGAAGGGUCCGGCACAGGUCGAUGUCUGGCCGGACGUACUGACAUGCCUUCUGGAGCGAGCCGCGCUCUCGGAGGAGCAUCGUUCUUUAAUGAGCACGGUGCUCACGAAGAUUUCGUCCGCUACAAGCGGUUUGAAUGAGGCAUUUACAAGCCUGCUCAAAGGCUUUGAGGUAAGUAGUGAAAAAUGCACAACUUUUUUGGUUAUGAAGCACGCGCUAGGUGUGCUUCCUAUGGAUAGUAGCCCCUGAGACUCUGGUUGCCCGCCAUAGGCGGCAAACGGGGGAUCAUAUAGUAAUGGAUGCGCUUUACAUGUGCGUAGGUAUGCAAGGAUCCGGCAGCCGACCAGUCUGUUGAAGUUGCCGAACUAAGGAGGCAGAUCGGAUCUAUUGAUGCCGAUAUCGCACUGGUGAACAAACGGCUGAAGGAGUCACAGGGUAUGUGGGUGGUGGGUGGGCAAUGCAACCUGCUCUGGAUUUAGAUCUGGGGCUACUGCAGGGGUGAUGUCCCGUGCAUUGUCCGACGACAGGUCUAGGCCGUGCUCGUCGUGACUGUCUGGCGCUCCUGGCACAGGGCCGAAUCCGUCGAAGAUCAAGUCUCCGCGAAUAUCCGUCGUGUAGUUCAAGUUUCCGAACCUAAUAUGGUGGCCAGGGGCGUAGCUGUCGAUCUGCUCUAGAUGGCCAAGCGAAUUGGCCCAUAGUGCGAAGCCGCCGAACACAAAGAUCUGUCCAGGGAGAAAAGUCUCGCCCUGGACGGUGUUGUUGGCGAUUGAAGACGCCAUCAGACCUCAAAGCGACGACACAGAGGAACUCUCAAUGAAAGCACCAAUGUCGGUGUCAAAACCAGCGGAUCUCGGGUAAGGGGUCCCGAUCUGUGCGUCCUAGGCUGAUGGUAACAGGAAGCAAGGGACACAAUGUUUACCCAGGUUCGGGCCCUCUCGAUGGAGGUAAAACCCUACUUCCUGCUUGAUUAAUAUUGAAGAUAUGAGUAGUACAAGAGUAGAUCUACCACGAGAUCGUAGAGGCUAAACCCUAAGAGCUAGCCUAUGAUGGUAUGAUUGUAAUUGUGAUCGGCCUUCUAAGGACCAUCCUCUCCGGUUUAUAUAGACACCGGAGAGGGCUAGGGUUUACAUGGAGUCAGUUACAAGGAAGGAAAUAUAAUAUCCGGAUCUUCUCUCAAACCCUAGUUCAUCUCUUAUAUCCAAUCUUUGUACCAAAACCUCAGAUUGGUACCUGUGGGUUGCUAGUAGUGUUGAUUACUCCUUGUAGUUGAUGCUAAUUGGUUUAUUUGGUGGAAGAUCAUAUGUUCAGAUCCUUAAUGCAUAUUAAUACCCCUCCGAUUAUGAACAUGAAUAUGCUUUGUGAGUAGUUACGUUUGUUCCUGAGGACAUGGGUGAAGUCUUGCUAUUAGUAGUCAUGUGAAUUUGGCAUUCGUUCGAUAUUUUGAUGAGAUGUAUGUUGUCUCUCCUCUAGUGGUGUUAUGUGAACGUCGACUACACGACACUUCACCAUUGUUUGAGCCUAGAGGAAGGCAUUGGGAAGUAAUAAGUAGAUGAUGGGUUGCUAGAGUGACAGAAGAUUAAAUCCUAGUUUAUAAGUUGCUUCGUAAGGGGCUGAUUUGGAUCCAUAUGUUUCAUGCUAUGGUUAGGUUUACCUUAAUACUUCCUUUGUAGUUGCGGAUGCUUGCAAUAGGGGUUAAUCAUAAGUGGGAUGCUUGUCCAAGAAAGGACAAUACCCAAGCACCGGUCCACCCACAUAUCAAAUUAUCAAAGUAACGACCGUGAAUCAUAUGAGCGUGAUGAAAACUAGCUUGAUGAUAAUUCCCAUGUAUCCUCGGGAUCGCUUUUCUCUAUAUAAGAACUUGUCCAGGCUUGUCCUUUGCUAAAAAAAGGAUUGGGCCACCUUGCUGCAUCUUAUUUACUUUUAUUGCUUGUUACCCAUUAUAAAUUAUCUUAUCACAAAACUAUCUGUUACCGAUAAUUUCAGUGCUUGUAGAGAAUACCUUACUGAAAACCGCUUUUCAUUUCCUUCUGCUUCUUGUUGGGUUCGACACUCUUACUUAUCGAAAGGACUACGAUAGAUCCCCUACACUUGCGGGCCAUCACAUGCCCAUGGACAAAGCCUCGGGACUGGACAGCUUCACGGGUGCCUUUUUCAACGCCUAUUGGGGGACAGUUAAGGCAGACCUCAUCGCCAUCUUUAACAGUUUCUCCAACGUCCGGACAGAGCACUUCCAGUGGGUCAACAUGGCAAACAUUGUGCUUAUCCAAAAAAGGAUGGACGGAAUACAUCUCAUAUUUUAUGCCAAUUAGCCUCAUUCACAUGGUGGAAAAGACUCUGGCAAAGAUGAUGGCAUCCUGACUUUCCCCUUUCAUGCAUACGCUGAUUACCAAGCAUCAAUGAUAGUUUCAUGUAUGUGCGCAACAUGGCUAGAAGGAUGCACCAUCUCAAGGAGCCUGCGCUCCUUUUUAAGUUCGACAUCAGAAAAGCCUUCAACUCUGUGCGGUGGGACUACCUGUUGGAGCUACUGUGCCGCCGCAGCUUCCCGACACGUUUCAGAGAUAUGUUGGCCGCUCUUCUCCACUCAUCAUCCUCCAGAGUCCAGCUAAAUGGAGUCCCGCGUGAGCCUAUCUAGCAUAGGAAAGGUAUCAGCCAGGGUGACCUGCUCUCGCCGCUGCUUUUCGUCCUGGCAAUCGACCCUAUUUAGAGCAUCCUCAACAUCGCCACGAGACAGGGCAAGCUGCACUGGAUCGGUGGGAGGGCUACUUGCAUGCGCACCUCCUUAUAUGUGGACGAUGCCGAAAUCUUUGUUGCCCCUUUCAAUGAGGAUAUCCAACAGCUUACUUCCCUCCUAUAGGGCUUUGGGAAGGUCAUCGGCCUCGUGAAAAAUUUGGGAAAAGCCACGGUGGCUCCAAUUCGAUGCUCCGGAAUGGACCUAGACGAUGUCCUUUAGUGCUUCCCUGCAUCUCGCUCCACCUUCCCCAUGCGCUAUCUCGGCCUACGCCUCUCGGUCCACCGGUUGAGGAAGAUUGAUCUGCAACACCUCGUGGAUAAGGCGGCUGGUAAGCUGGUGCCAUGGCAGGGUCGCCUCAUCACGAUGGUGGGCAGGUCUGAGUUGGUCAAGUCGGUGCUCUCCUCCCUUGUCACCUACCAUGCCACGACUUUGAAGCUGCAGGAGGGAACUGUUUCCGCCUCUAUGGGAAUCGAGAGACCUUUCCUUUGGUUAGGAUCGAACUAAGUGUCCGGAGGGCAGUGCAAGGUUAGUUGGCGGUUGGUUUUCAAGCCAAAACGACUUGGUGGACUCAGCAUCCUUGACUUCGGCAUGUAUGCUCGGGCCCUGCGGCUUCGUUGUAUUGUACAACUGGAAGGAGCCGCAACGGGCGUGGUUGAUACGGAAACCCUUGUGACUCCACCGACAAAGACCUCUUCUACGCCGCGAUGACGAUCACCGUGGGGGAUGGUCGGAAGACCCAGUUUUGGCACUCCCCAUGGCUAGACAGAAAGAAGCCAAAGAUCUCGCACCUUUGGUUUUUGAGAUCUCUGCCAACAAGAACAAAUUUGUGAAGGAGGCCUUGCUCGAAAACAAUUGGAUCCGGUGGAUCAACAUUUUGGGAGGCCUCUCGGUGGAGCACAUCAAGCAAUUUUGCAGCCUCUGGGAGAAGAUUCAAGAGGUGCACUUACAUGACAACCUUGUCGACGACAUCAGAUGGAACCUUACCGCCAUCAGGCUCUACUCUGCGGCCUCGGCUUACAAGGCCCAGUUUGAGGGAUCUAUCAUCUCACCCAUUGCCAAGAUGGUGUAGAAUAGUUGAGCACCGCUGAUCAACGAUAGGGUCUGGACCGCCAAUCGACUAUAGCGGAGAGGCUGGCCAAACUGCAACUUAUGCCAGCUUUGGAAGAGGGAGUCAGGCCGUGGCACAUCUCCUCUUCAAAUGUAGGUUCUCCAUCACUCCGUUUCGAUAUUUACAUUCAUGCCUGGUAUUGGGUAUUGGCAUUUGCCUGAGCCUAAUAUCCCGAAUGCCACCGUUUGGUUGGUCUUCGCAUUCAGUCGUGACAUUCGGGCUCGAUAUUGAGCGGUCCAUCCCUAAUGCAAAAAACGGUUGGCCCAAUUCGGAGCCUGUGUGCUCGACAUCGCUAGGCAUUGGGAUAUCGUGCUUAUCUGUUCGCGAACGAAACCAACCAGCGUCGUACCUCCUGUCUCAACAAACAGCGGUGGCGCCCAUCCCGCCCGCCUCUACACCGAGCCCCGACGGCCGGCGUGCCUGCACCCCAAGAUCCGGUGCCCGACGCCACCCUCCCGCCUCGUCUCUGUAACGCCCGGGUAUUUAAGCUACAGUGAACCUCAGCUAAUGAUGCCAUGUCACCUUGUUUACUGUUGCUAAUCUCGCGUCGGUUCGAAACUUUUCAAAUUAAAAAUUUAACUAUUGUCAAACAUCAAAAGUUUUCAAACAUCAUAACAAAGAUGUUCGGUCUGUGCCAAAAAUGGCAUAGGUAAUUAUAGUGCAGUAAACACAUUUUUAUAAAAUGCCUAAAUACUUUUAAAUGAAUUAAAACAGAAAAGAAAUAAUAACAGAAAACAAAAAACUAAAACUAAAAGAAGAAAAGGAAAAGAACCCCCGGGCCAGCCGACCCAACAGGCCGGCCCAUUCGGCCACCGGCCCAACUGGGCAAGGGCCCAGCCGGCCACUCCCCCCCCCACCUUAUCUACUACACCACCCCCGCCCACUCCACCGACACCCCCACAACCCNNNNNNNNNNNNNNNNNNNNNNNNNNNNNNNNNNNNNNNNNNNNNNNNNNNNNNNNNNNNNNNNNNNNNNNNNNNNNNNNNNNNNNNNNNNNNNNNNNNNNNNNNNNNNNNNNNNNNNNNNNNNNNNNNNNNNNNNNNNNNNNNNNNNNNNNNNNNNNNNNNNNNNNNNNNNNNNNNNNNNNNNNNNNNNNNNNNNNNNNNNNNNNNNNNNNNNNNNNNNNNNNNNNNNNNNNNNNNNNNNNNNNNNNNNNNNNNNNNNNNNNNNNNNNNNNNNNNNNNNNNNNNNNNNNNNNNNNNNNNNNNNNNNNNNNNNNNNNNNNNNNNNNNNNNNNNNNNNNNNNNNNNNNNNNNNNNNNNNNNNNNNNNNNNNNNNNNNNNNNNNNNNNNNNNNNNNNNNNNNNNNNNNNNNNNNNNNNNNNNNNNNNNNNNNNNNNNNNNNNNNNNNNNNNNNNNNNNNNNNNNNNNNNNNNNNNNNNNNNNNNNNNNNNNNNNNNNNNNNNNNNNNNNNNNNNNNNNNNNNNNNNNNNNNNNNNNNNNNNNNNNNNNNNNNNNNNNNNNNNNNNNNNNNNNNNNNNNNNNNNNNNNNNNNNNNNNNNNNNNNNNNNNNNNNNNNNNNNNNNNNNNNNNNNNNNNNNNNNNNNNNNNNNNNNNNNNNNNNNNNNNNNNNNNNNNNNNNNNNNNNNNNNNNNNNNNNNNNNNNNNNNNNNNNNNNNNNNNNNNNNNNNNNNNNNNNNNNNNNNNNNNNNNNNNNNNNNNNNNNNNNNNNNNNNNNNNNNNNNNNNNNCCACGGCGCCCUGCGCGCCUCCACACGCGCCCUGGCACGCGAGCCCGCACUGCUCGGUGCCGCCAGCAACCGCCGCCCGAGAUUCCGCUCACGGCCACCACGGCCACGGCCUCGCCUACUCGACCGCGCGUACGCCCGCGCCUCCUCUCGGCGGCCCCUGCUUGCCGGCCAGCGCGAGCCCGCCUCCGGCCAAACCACCGCACUUCCCGCACUGGGUUGCGCCUCCCCGCUACGCCGUCGCCUCUGCCACUUCGCCCGCGGCCACGCUGACCUUCCUCUUGCGCCACUUUUCGUGUGCGCCGCCCGCUCCCUUGGCCGCGCCCGCUCGUACCUCGCCCCGCUCCCGGCGUCGCUUUGGCGACGCCCCGCUGCGCCCCAGGGGCCUUCUCCUUGCGGCGCCUGGAUGUGGCCACGGGCACGAACGCUCGCACCCGCGAGCCCCUGUGCCCGGUAACCGCACGCCCGCACCCGGGUUGGCCCUUGGGCCACUGCCCAGUGGCCCCCCCACGCCCCUGAUAAAAAGAAAAAGAAUUUUAAAAAUAAAUAAAUAAAUAAAUAAUAAUUAACAGAAUUAAAAUAUUAAUUAAUUAAUUAAUUUAUUAAAAAAAUUAAUUAAGAUUAGUUAAUCAUAAUUAGAUUAACCUAAUUGACUAAUUAGUUUAAUUAAACAGUAAUUAGUUAAUUAAACCCUAAUUAACCUAAUCAGAGGAUGACAGGUGGGUCCCACUGGACCCACACGUCAGUUUGACCAGUCAACACCUCUGUUGACUGCUGACGUCAUGCUGACGUCAGCAAACACUGUUUUGGAUAAUGUUGAAUUAAAUAAAUUAAAUAAAUUCUAAAAAUGAUUUAAAACUUUAGAAAAUCAUAUCUUUUAAUCCGUAACUCGGAUUAAAAUAUUUUCAACAUGAAAGUUGCUCAGAACGACGAGACGAUUCCGGAUACGCAGUCCGUUUGUCCGCCACACCCCCCUAACCUAUCGAACCCGCAACUUUCCCCCUCCGGCUCCUCUGCCCGAAAACACGAAACACCGGGAAUACUUUCCCGGAUGAUUCCCCCCUUAACCAGUACCACCUCAUACCACGUUAGGGCACGCCUAGCAUCGCUUCUUGACAUGUCAUGCAUCGAUAUGCAUCUGUUUACUUGGUAUUCAUUGUUUCUUCCCCCUCUUCUCUCCGGUAGACUACGAGACCGACGCUGCUGCUGCCCAGUUCGACUACGGAGUUGACGACCCCUCUCUCUUGCCAGAGCAACCAGGCAAGCCCCCCCUUUGAUCACCAGAUAUCGCCUAUUCUCCUCUAUACUGCUUGCAUUAGAGUAGUGUAGCAUGUUACUGCUUUCAUUAAUCCUAUUCUGAUGCAUAGCCUGACAUUGUCGCUACAUCUGUUGAUACCUUACCUGCAAUCCUAAAUACUUAGUAUAGGAUGCUAGUUUAUCAUUGUUGGCCCUACCUUCGUGUUAGUCUGCCUUGCUAUAAUAUUGGGCCGUGAUCACUCGGGAGGUGAUCACGGGUAUAUACUAUACAUACAUACAUACUAUACAGAUGGUGACUAAAGUCGGGUCAGCUCGAAGAGUACCCGCGAGUGAUUCACGGAUUGGGGGCUGAAAGGACCUUUGUCCCGACGGCCCUCUGUGUGGAUCUUAAUGGCGGAGCGACAGGGCAGGUUGAGACCACCUAGGAGACAGGUGGGCCUGGCCCUGUUCGGCGUUCGCGGAUACUUAACACGCUUAACGAGAUCUUGGUAUUUGAUCUGAGUCGGCUACGAGCCUAUACGCACUAACCAUCUACGUGGGAGUAGUUAUGGGUAUCCCGACGUCGUGGUAUCAGCCGAAGCCCUUCAGACGUCAGCGAUGGAGCGGCGCGCGCCGGAUUGGAACGUAAGCCUGCUCUUGUAUUAAGGGGGCUAGUUCUGCUUUCGGCCGCGUACGCAACGUGCAGGUGUGCUAUGGGCGAUGGGCCCAGACCCCUGUGCGCUUAGGUUUAGACCGGCGUGCUGGCCUCUCUGUUGAGCCUAGGUGGGGCUGCGACGUGUUGAUCUUCCGAGGCCGGGCAUGACCCAGGAAAGUGUGUCCGGCCAAAUGGGAUCGAGCGUGUUGGGUUAUGUGGUGCACCCCUGCAGGGAAGUUAAUCUAUUCGAAUAGCCGUGAUCUUCGGUAACAGGACGACUUGGAGUUGUACCUUGACCUUAUGACAACUAGAACCGGAUACUUAAUAAAACACACCCUUCCAAGUGCCAGAUACAACCGGUGGUCGCUCUACCUCAGGGAUAUGAGGAGGGGAUCGCCGGGUAGGAUUAUGCUAUGAGAUGUUACUUGGAGAUGAUACUUGGAGGACUUCGACCUACCCUCUUCUGCCUGUUGCAAGACGAAGGUGACCAGAAGCGUAGUCUUCGAUAAGACUAGCUAUCCCCCUCUUAUUCUGGCAUUCUGCAGUUCAGUCCACUGAUAUGGCCUCCUUACACAUAUACCCAUGCAUAUGUAGUGUAGUUCCUUGCUUGCGAGUACUUUGGAUGAGUACUCACGGUUGCUUUCUCCCCCCUUUUUCCCCUUUUCCUUCUUUUCUGGUUGUCGCAACCAGAUGCUGGAGUCCAGGAGCCAGACGCCACCGUCGACGACGACCCCUACUACACUGGAGGUGCCUACUACUACGUGCUGCCCACUGAUGACGACCUGGAGUAGUUUAGGAGGAUCCCAGGCAGGAGGCCUGCGCCUCUUUCGAUCUGUAUCCCAGUUUGUGCUAGCCUUCUUAAGGCAAACUUGUUUAACUUAUGUCUGUACUCAGAUAUUGUUGCUUCCGCUGACUCGUCUAUGAUCGAGCACUUGUAUUCGAGCCCUCGAGGCCCCUGGCUUGUAUUAUGAUGCUUGUAUGACUUUUUUUUAUUUGUAGAGUUGUGUUGUGAUAUCUUCCCGUGAGUCCCUGAUCUUGAUCGUACACAGUUGCGUGCAUGAUUAGUGUACGAUUGAAUCGGGGGCGUCACAGUCUCCACCCCAAGAUCUAGCGGCCGACGCCACCAUCCCGCCCCGCCGGAGCUCUCCAGCAGCCGGCGGCACGUUCCCGCCCCGCCAGAGCUCUCCAGCGACCGGCGCCACCCUCCUACCCCGCCUCCACCAUGAUGUCCGGCGACCGGCGUGGCUCCACCCCGAGCUUUGCCACAACUCAUUGUCUCACAUUGACAACCCAAACAACAUUUGGCAUUCGACCUCAGUAUCAGUGUUCCGAAUAUCUAAGCAUCCAAACAAAAAAUAUUGGCAUUCAAUCUCAAUACCAAUAUAGUGUGAUAUUGAUAUUCAACCCAAUGCAAUGCCAAGGAUACCAAUGCAAACAUCCAAACAUAGCGUAAAUGUAUUUUUACCGACAAUCAUUUGUGUUGGGACCGGUGACAAUUUUUGUUGUGACCGGAAUUGUUACGCUUUGAUUUAUUCCUUGUCAUAAAAUGGAGGCUUUCGUAAUCCGAGAUAAUAUUAUCAGUUUCUUUUUGCAAGUAAUAAUAUUAUCAGUUAUGAGCCUUCACGGUACAAAUGCCGACUGCUCCUCCUAUAUAAUGUCUGGUAGGAUGACCUUGAGACGGUUUGCUAGCACUUUCGAAACUAGUACGGUAAAACAUGUUAACUUUUUUUUUUGAGAAAAGGUAAAACAUGUUAACGUUUUUUUGAAGGCGGGGCGGGGCGGGGCGGCGCACGCAUCCAUCAAAAUUCCGGUGGCAUCCAUCCAUCAAAAUCUCGGCAAUCAGCAACAGGCAUCAGUUUUUUUAUUUUCAAAGCCACUAUUCAUCAAGUUAUAAUUUCUAAUACGAUGUGUUCACGUGUCUUAAUAUAUCAAUCCUCCGACUCUUAAAAUUGGGCUUGCUCUUUUCAUGCCAAUUCUUAGUUAAAUUAAAUUUAUCUAUCACUAGAGGCGUCCUUUGAGGAGUUCAUCUAUCUCACAACUUCGCUCGCGUCGCUCUCCCCCUGGGGCGACUCGGGCGACUCCCACAAACCUAGCCGCCGCCGCCAAAAACUCCCUCCUCCUCUCCCUCCGCCGCCGCUGGGGAACACCGUCGGGCUAAGCCCGGGGGCCGACGGUGGUGGCGGGGGAUCUCCUCUCUCACGCGUCUCCGGGUUGGGGUGGGACCCCUAGGCAUGUGGUGGCGCGGCUGAUCUGAGUUCUGCGGCGCGACGGAUGGGUGCGGCAGGUGGCGGGUGGCCGGCCCGUCCUCGGACGGCGGCGGCUAGGCGCGGCGGGCGGCCCAGCCUGGGACGGCGNNNNNNNNNNNNNNNNNNNNNNNNNNNNNNNNNNNNNNNNNNNNNNNNNNNNNNNNNNNNNNNNNNNNNNNNNNNNNNNNNNNNNNNNNNNNNNNNNNNNNNNNNNNNNNNNNNNNNNNNNNNNNNNNNNNNNNNNNNNNNNNNNNNNNNNNNNNNNNNNNNNNNNNNNNNNNNNNNNNNNNNNNNNNNNNNNNNNNNNNNNNNNNNNNNNNNNNNNNNNNNNNNNNNNNNNNNNNNNNNNNNNNNNNNNNNNNGCGGCGUGGCUGCGGGCGCAGCGGCCGGCCUUUUCGGGCGGCGGUUGCGGUCGACGGCGGCGGCAGCCAGCUAGGCUGCGGCGGCGUGCAAACUGCCUUCAGAUCGGUGGAGGCGGCAUGGAGGGCCUGGUGGUCUCGUCGUCGGCAUCUCCGGUCAGAUCUGUUCUGACUGAUGCGACCGGUGGUGGUGGUCAUCUCUUCCGUCAGAAGUGGUCAGUCUGAGGCUGGGUGUCCGGAUCUCCGGAUCCGUGAUCCUGUACUAGCUGCGAGUCGGGGAGACAUAAUUGCCGGUGAAACUGAGCCGACGACCUGCGAUGGCGGCGAUCUAUGUUGUUACCUUGAUGAAGGCAUCGUUGUGUGACUUAUGUUGACCCACUCGUACUGCUCUGGGGGAAACCCUAGGAUCUGGUCUUCCUGAUCGCACGAUGGUGACACUGCGGUGGCGUUUCUCUCUUGGGAGCAUCGUUUGUGGAGCAGUGCUGGUGGUCAGAGGCAGGAGGUGGAGUGGCUUCGUCUAGCACGGAGCUUCAGUGGAGAUGUCAAGCCAUGUCUCAUCGACAGGUGCUACGCUUUGUCAUGCCUGGUCAGCAGGUGCUACGCACGACAAAUCUUCCAAAGACUUCAAACUGCGUCGGCUGGUGGUACUUGGCGGCAUUGGUGCUGAGGUGUACCAGCGGCGACCGCGACGUGCUCAGUAGUUCGCGCGCAGGGUGGUGGCGCCGUGGUGGCGUUGACGGCAGCUAGACUGGGCAAGGAUGAUGCGUCAGUACAGAUCUGAAGAUGGAGUGGUGGCAGUUGGCUGCGGCGGCAUCUGGGAGCGCAUCGGACCGGUGUGUGCCCAUACCCGACAAGUGGCUUGGUUGGGGCCUCAGGUCUUAGAUGUUAGGCUUAUCUGCGAGGUCUGUGGUAUUAGGUUCGGACUAUCAGCAUCCCUUCAUCAGCUGGAUAGGAGUAGCGACAGUUGUCGCAUAGACGGUGACUUCAGACUUAUUGUUGUACUUUUUUGUAAGGUCUUUGAUGACUAAUUAAUAAAUGGCUGCAUGCAUCGUCCAGAUGCAGAGGCCGGGGGUGAUCCUCGUUUUCUAAAAAGAACUAGAGGCGUCCUUUUCUUCUCCUAUUGUCCAACAGGCAUCAGGCUAUGCGAGCCCAGUUGAACACCAAUAUAUUUUUUAGAAGCAACAUGGGGAAAAAUACUUAAAUGAUUGCUUAGUUACGUUCGUUCAAAGCGUUUUUCUUGCAAGUUAAGAUGAGGACAUUUUCACUCAUUUUCAAAGCAUCAUUGAUCGGAAAGUUAUCGUGUAAUUUGUAAGCUUUCUUAUCAUUCGCUAUUUCUAUCCUCUAUAUAUUAAGAUGUUGCCACUCUAAUUAUUGAACAAUUAGUAUUUCUACAUGUUACUACAAUUUUAAGUUAUACUCGCAUGCGAAUCUAUUAUAUUAUGUUAUGUGAAUAUAUUAUAUUAUGUUAUAUCUUUUAUGUAUUAGCUAAUCAGCAUAAACUAGUGCUAUAAUCGCUCAUACAAGCUAGAAAAACGCUUUAAGUUUUUUUAAAUGGCUUUUAAAUUUGGAAGACACACCCUCCAAAUCCUGGGCCUGCCCCUAUCUCCACCAGCUAUUGACGUGGGGGACGAGACCAUGCGGCGCCACUGGUGCUCUGCAGACUCAUCAUGGUUGCCCUCGAGAGCCACACUCGUGCUUACCGCGCCCGCCGGGGCAAGAUGCCGGCCACACCCGACAUGUCACGCUUGUGCUACCGAAUUGUGCCAUAGUCGUCACGCGCACCCGUAGGUGAGCUCGUCGCUGCACUAACAUACACCCCAGGGAGAUACCGGAGAUUGCUCACCGGCACCAAAAGUUCUCACAGGAGCCGGCUAUGGAUGUGGUUACAACGGCGGAGGCAGGGGCCUUCCCCCCUACCCCCCACCGGCUCUAACAAAUACAGGCCGGAAAAAAAUAUGAGCUCCUAAUUCUUCAUCAGACAGACAAAAUUAGGUAGAUUUAGAUGUUUUGGCCCUCUUUAAAUCAUGUGACAUGUUUGGCCCUCUCUAUGUUCAGUUUCUGGCUCCACCACACGUAGUGGUUGUCCGUAAUGCUCAGGAUACUCGGCCUCACUCGUGCGGCAAGACGUCGCGGGUGCCAAGGUUAUUGUCGCUCUUUUUUUUUAUCAGGUUAUUGCCGCUCUUCUGCUUACACACUACUAGUACGGCAUGCGGGUUUAUGCCGCCUGCCGCAUUGUCCCGCGCUAAUCCUAGCGGACUGUGACGGUCAACCACAAAUGCUCGCAAAACAUGCUGGCACCCGCAAUUACCAGUAACGGGCGGCCGCAGCCCGCCUCCCUUGCAUCCUUGUUUAAAAAAAAUAAAAAAAAUACGAGGGGUGCCUCCCUUGCAUUCUGAGCCAUAACCCAGAGUGCCUCCCUUGCAUUCUGAGACGUUUCCGUCGACUACGAGAGGUCUAUCAUGACUUAGUAAAAUUUCAAGAUGAUAUGCCGACUCAAUCUCUCAAAGACGCUCAUAGGGAUGGUGUGUGCGUGUAUACAUUCAUAGGGAUGAGCAUAUGCGCGUUUAUAUGAACGCUUGCAUUUGUAUUGUGUUAAACAAAAAACCAAGAGCGCCAAAUCGGAAGGUUGAGGCGUAUGGUGGAGUGCCAUCCCACCAGAGUCGAGGCCCAACGCAAUCGGCGGCGCCUGCGGGACCCGCUCAUCCACAUGGCUAUCCCCGGUUUAGCUGACGGCGGCGGAAGGAGACAGCGAAAGGGGGAGAGAAGGGAGCACAUGACGUGGAACCGGGAUCCGGCCUCGCCGGACGCAGAGGCCGUUGGAGCACGGAGAUCAGGCGCGGUGGCCGGCUGGCCGUCGCCCGCCUACGCUGUCGGUCGCCACAGGUUUGUUAUUGAGUUCCAUGUUAAAACUUGAGUGCUGCUACCCACACGAUAUAACGGUGAACAUCAAGCCGUCCAUGCAUCAGGUAAAAGUUGACAGGGCCGUUAAUCAUGCAUCGUGCAUAGUUUGGCUGGUGUUUGUCGUCCGCCCAGUAGUUUCGUUAAAACUUACAAAAGGUUGAGAAGUUGUUGCAUAUCAAGUCGCGUAGUAGGCAAAGAGAAAUAAUUAAAGACCAGAAACAAGCGACAAUGGUAGGCUCAGAGCUUGAACUACAUACCAGAUGUGAAGAGACGACGACCAUGCGCUCAGACUCUUCACUUCUUCAGUCCACACUCAGCUUCUGAAUUGUCAGGUUCGAGCUAACAUAAUACACCCCCUGACCAGUAAGCUGGAAAGGCAAAGCUUUAUGCGUG